rnacentral:lncRNA from 1 species
UUUUUUUUUUUUUUUUUUUGGGUCUAGUAUAGGCAGAAUUUGUGGUUUAAUGUAAUGCGUUUGUGUUUGAUUAGGAUAUAUCAGUUGGGAAAUCGAUUCAGUUCAAGUUCAUACUACAAGAAAGCACAGGGAAUAUCUCAUGGCAGCCUGGCCCUGAUCGGAUUUUCCAGACCUGGGAAACUAUGAACAGGAUCACUGUUUCCGAAGAUUGGGCAGAUGCUGAGCUUCAGAAAAUAAUAGAGGAAGAUCAGGUUUCAAAUCAAAGCGAUGGUUCAAAUGUUAACGCAGAUAUGUUGAAUAUGGAUGAGAACCUGACACAGCCGAAUGGUGAACUGGCCUUCAAUACAACCAAUGAACCGAAAAUCACCAAUAGUAACACUGAUUCGGCAGAGAAACCAUCAGUAGAACCAAGGAAGGAACAAAUUGGUGCUGAUAAUGGUUCUCCUUCACAAGAGAAUGUGAACCCUAAAUGGCCAAAGGCAUAUGUGGAAUCAUACAAGGAACGAGUUGCCACAAGAACUGCAGUGCUUAAUGAAGAGAGAGUUAUUUUUCCAAGCGAGGAUUCUACAGCCAUCUCAAGUAAGGAGUUGUUGGUGGCAGACAACAUCUGCGGAAAUAAUGGUAGAGCUGCAACAGUAAUGAACCUUUCAAGCACUCACGUCGAGGGAAGCCUAGUUAACCACGAAGAAGGUCCUGUUCUGGUACCUGGGCUGACUCCUUCACCAGCUGUUCCAAAUGAAGAAGUGAACAAAGAGGGAAUCGAGAAACAGAUGUCUUUUGAUGGCUCGGUUGGAGCAUUUGAAGCUAAGGAUCGUAAUAUGCCAGAGGUAACUGCUUGAUGAGAGUGAAGUAUCUUUUAUCUUUUGCUGUAUCUUCUUGUACUGCAUUUACCUCAGCCUGAAAUAACAUCCAUUCCAUUUCCAUAAGACCGCGAGUUGUCCAGGGCUAUAGGAGAGAUUCUAUACUACUAGGUAGUUUUUGGUUUCAUCUUGUAUGUUGUUGGAAUCUAUGUUUUCCAUGAAGAGAAGUUCAAGUUGAUGAUGUAUCGCAAGGCAAUUAUUUAAUUUCAUCAAAAUUGAGCAAUCAUCUAUAAAUUCGCAUGAAGAAACUGUUCGUGUAUUUUCGUUACAAUCAUUAACCAACAAAGUUGACCAUCUUCGAUUCUUUGCACAAUAUCAUUGCAGUGUAAUAAACGUUGUAUGCUACAAUACAAAUCCAUAGCCAUGUAUUCUCCUAUUGCAAAUUGAAACUGCGCUGUCUGAUUCAAACUGAAACUAUUAACACUCGCAAUGUGACAAGGAAUUCUCUAUCAAGCAUUUCGUUUGUAUCUUUUAUUUAUGCUGCUAAUUCAUCAGCAUUUAGAGGAACCCUAUUCCUGAAAAAUGUGAGAGUUCAUGAUGAAUGAUUUUUCUUUGCUAUGCAUAAGGCGAUGCAUUGUUGUCGAACAUCAGUAUUUGAUUUAGAUGUUCUUGGCCCUUGAUAAUGCUGUUAUUGAUGUCCUCUUUUCUGCUAUCUUUUCAUGUACUCAAACCAAUGGAUUCAGUUAGACGAGAAGCGAGAACCAUACAGUGACCUACCUGAAGCAGAAACAAGUGUAAUGACCAACGGCGAUCAGGAGAAUUUUGACGAUGAACAAUUCCACUCAGAGCCCGUCAAUGAUAGUGUCCUGUGCAACGGCCAACCUCAAGUGGAAACAGCUUCCGCGAUCAGUGAGAGAGAGAAUUCUGCUAAGGGGGGAGGACAGUCCAACUCAGAGCCAAUCAACGAGGUCUUGCACAAUGAUAUGCAAUGGGGUCGUAGAAUGCUGCAAAACCUUCUGUCUGACUUCAGAUUGUUUUGGUAUUGACUUUUCCGGAAACCUGGGUAGAGAAUUUCCGGCAUUCACGUCAGCCUGCUGUUACUCUUCCGGCUUUGUUGCUGAAGUUUUGUGGUAGCCUGCAAAGAGGAGAGAGAGGCAAUCUUAUAAACAACGGUUAUAUGUAGAUAUGAUGCAAGAGUGCUCAGGCUUUUGUAUUCUUUUAGUUUGUCAUAUAACUGUGGCAUGAUGUGUGAGAGGAAAAUUUGUACCAAAUACCAAGUUUUGUAAGGAUUUGGUUGCUUUUUUCUAGUACUGUCAUAAAAUGCAGUUGGUCGAAGUGGAAAGCACCUGACUCCGUCUUUCGGAUGUAAAAUAAACGCCUUCUUUUUGUGUUUUUGAUGAGUUAUGUUUUCAUGUGUCGAACUAUUAUAUGAAGAAUGCGAAGGAGCCAAGCAGCGUGCGUGGCUGAAAUUUCUGUUGUGCAUAGCCCUUCGGGUUAGAACAUAAUUAGGAAACCAGUUAGCGAUGAAUUGUGUCAAAUCUCGGGAGAGUUUUGGAUUCCCUCCAUUGUGACCGAAACGGAAAUUAUGCUGUGCAGGAAAAAUGCAGCUUGAAAUUCUGAGUCCAAGAAGUAUCAAAGAAGUUGCUUGCCGAUGCUACCAGCUAACAGGUAGCUGGAGAACAAACUGUACUGACUGAGAUCCAUAUUAGUUAUCAACAAGCACAUUGCGUAUGGAAUUGGGUGCUCUUCACAAUUUCAGGUGCAGGAGUAAAUGCUCUUAACCGACCGAAUUAGAAGCCCUUGCGAGGUCAGUCUAUCCCUAAAUGCUAGUACGUUGACUAUUGAGAUUUACAGCAAGAUUUAAUUAUCCGAGAUUCCGAAGCAAAAUUUAAAUCUUGUUUUAAUUUACAGCAUUUGAUUCCUCCCAUAGAUCCUGAAGCAAGAACAUAUAGUGGACAUCAAAAUUUAUCAUUUCCAACACCAUAUUUUCUGGAGAAAUGAUUUCCGCACCCUUCUUCCCACUACUGUUUAUUUUUAGCAAUCAAAGGAUAAUCGAAUGAAUCACAUUAACAUGAGUAUGCAAAAAUCAGUCUAGUCUAUCUGUAUCGUAUCGAAUUCAUAUGACUAGGGUACGAAGAUGUGAAAAAGAUUUGAAAAGGAACCAACACAAUGUAAUUACUUAUGGACUUUGACGGGAUAAUACAAUUCCUUCGUUUUGAGAACAAGAUGGUCUUAAAUUUCAGGUUCCAUGCUGCAAUCUUAUGAUCAGUAAAAUCUACGUAAAAAUUUUCAAGGGGAAAAAUGUGAACUAUAUUCAGAGAUGCAAUCCCCAACCUCAAUAUGUAAGCAGGAAAAGAUGGGGCAAGAUGAAAAAAGAAACACAAAGAAUUUGCCCAGCUUUCCACCAACAAAAUAUACACAUACCCGCGUUGGCAAUAUUGAAACUGGCUCUCCGAAAGGGGUAAAUAUAUUCCGAAUUGUACAAGAUGCCGAAGUCGUGUGCCUCCAAAAGCCAGUCUUUCUACUUUUACCUCCUUGUUCCUUUAGUUUUCACAAAGCAUUGGAGGUUGGGGAGAGAUGCAGCCACCUGGACCUCGCCAAGACCAUUGUUUCAUUUGUCGAGUGCAAGAGGAAGAAUGCGCUAGCAGGAGCCAAGAUUGAAAUGACUCGUUUCAAUGUUUGUCUGCAACCCCAUUCUCUGCUGCCGUGAAAAUGAUAAACUUCGUGAACCAUGCAAUAUGUCUUCCUUGGGUCGUUUUGCAACCGACUCUAUCAAUCUGCAAAAAGAUAAUAACUAAAUUGAAAAAUUUAGGAAACACCGACAUUCAUGAAAUAGUAAACAUUGAACUCAAAAAUCUUUUGGAGCCUUUUAUUGUAUAUCCCAGGCAGUGUCUGACCAUAAUCUUGAACUACUUGUCAAUCUUACAGAUAUACAUUUGCGCAUAGGCUAGGAGUUCGUUCUAUUUGACCUCUGGCCUAGCAACACCAAGCGAAAAAAUAAAAAAAUAAAAACUCAAAAAAUGCCUAAAUGAACCAUAAAGACAUCUAAUAUCCAAGCAGAAACACAAAAGAAGCCAUAAAUCAACAUAAAGUAUGACUUGGCCAUAUUAUAUCCAACCAAGAACCCUUCAGGCUUCCAGAAUUGCCCAGCAAAUAACAAAGAUUUGGUUUCAGAAAUGUCUCAGCUCAAACAGGGUGAAAAUAAGUGUUGUGUUACCUUGGGGAACUGGCACGCUUUAGAACUUGCUGACUCACCGUAAAAGUACUUCCAGGUUCAACUUCAGCAGCCUGUAUAUUUGGCAUUGAACACACAGGCAUUAAUCAGGAAAUUCAACGCAAAAGUCAAAAAUAUUACACACUAGAUGGAGGUCUCCUGUUUCCAGUUAAAGGAAGAUAGUAAUUUUGGGUUCAGAAGCUUCCCUCUCACAGGAGAUAAAUGGAAAUGGUUUCACCACAUGCACAAGUUAGAUCCAGCACAAAUAUUGGGAAGAAAAAUGAAAUCUGUGAGAAGUUUAAAACAAGUCUAUGAGAAGUUUAAAAUUCAAGUAGAAGCCAUACAGUGGGGUGGUAAUGGUGAUGAGGAUAUCUAAAAACAUAUCGACUGAGGUACGAAUAAUUGCUAUUCAUUCAAACCAAAAAGAGAAAAGAACAGAGGUAAAUCAAGCACAUGGGAAUACUUGGAUAACGGGUAGAAAUGAGGGACUGACAACCAAGCCCGUACCUUUCAAAACAGGAAUUAAUGGAGCCAAUAAAGCAGCAGUAGCAAACAUUGAGGCCAGCUCAUUCCGCUUACAGUGUUUUAGCCAUCACAUCUUCGUGAGAUGCAAAAUUCAAAAUAGGAGUGGUUCUCCUUUCAGUGUCUUGCCCACAUACCCUUUAUCCAAGCAUCACCUAUGUUUUUGAACAUAGAAAAUCAAAUCAACUAAUGAAAGCAUCAGCAAUUAUCCCCACCUCUGAAGUUCUUUCUUUAGGCGAUCCAUCCCUUAGCAGCUCAGCCGAUCCUGGACCAACCAUGUCCAAUAGAAAUCCGUUUUCAUUUCCUUUAUUUAAAUCUCUGUCCACGGCACCAGAACGAGGUGCAAGAUAUGCUACAUAUUUAUCUGCCAUCCGACACACAAAAUACAUUCAGCACAUACAAACAAAAAUACCACAGAAAACUGCAAGGAAAAAAACGUGGUUAACUAAUAAAGUUACCAGCCAAGCUGUGAAGGGCAUUCUCAGCAGCCUGUUGUUGAGCAUCCUUCCUCGUCCUACCCAUUCCAAAACCUAUCUUCUCUCCAGUGAAAAGAACCUUUAAAAACGAAGUUAACAAUGAGCACGUUAGAGUCCAAAAUUGAUACAAGAUAGCUCCUCAAAACAAAAUAAAGUACAAAUGCAAAAUGUAUAAACAAACAAAUUAAGAAAGGAGCUUUAAAUUUUUUUCCAAAAUUGCUCUUAAAAAAAGACAUUUUCUCCUGGCCGGGUUUCAUUGAUUUGUUCUGCUAAAGAAAGAUUAAUGACAAAUCAGGGUCAGCUUAUAUUUAGAAAACAGCACUCCUUAAGACAACAUUUCAAAUAAAACAUCUAUUGGGUAUAAUUAAGUCAUUUCACAACAACUUCAUACAUAUAAGGCAUAUAAUUUACACAGAACAACAGCUGUGAUGUCAAUAAGCAAUUAAACUACCAAAGUACAAAGGGAAAGAAAGGAAGUUCACUGACCUCAACAGAAAACUGCAAGUCAUUGCUGGUGCUUAAAACAGACCUGAACUCAAUCUGAGCAACGGGCAUAUCAUGGAUAACUCCAUUAGGAAAAAUUAAAAAGAUAAGAAAGAAAGGAGGGCAUGGGGCGCCACAACGGGGGCAUAAAACUAAAGCUAUUCAUACCUUUGAACUGCACCUCCGUCCAAUUUCCUGCAGCACUCCAAUAGAUAAAGGGGAUGGUACCAGGUUUACUUUACCAGAUUCUGUUUGAGAUUCUAUAUUCAAAGAAGAUGCCUGAAUCUGGGAUACACCAGCCUCUGCACCGAAAAACCAAAUCACUCCUCAAAAACACCAUAUACUAUUAAUUCUAAUAGAAAAUUAUAACUUAUCUCGUGAAUUUUUUAUCAAAAACCGUACAAAGACAAAACGAUAAUCCCAUUCCUAUCCUUCCAAGUUGUGGGGUUAACAGGCUACAAGUUAAUAAAAUUAAAACGAAGGAGAUAAAGAUAAAGAUAAAGAUAAAGACAAGGGGAAAGGCUCAUUAGGCACAAAGCAGAAUGAUGUUAAACUAUACUAAGUUGGAAAGACUAUUGGACUAUUGGAAAAGACUGAUGGGAAGACUAUUGGACUCUCCAGUUCUUUUUAAUAUUAAAAAAAAUAUUCCUCAUUUAAACUUAAAAAGUAGAAUGAUGUUAGGCAGCAAGUAUUUUAUAAAAGAAACCUUUCAAACUACUUGAGAGGAUAAGGACAAAUCAAAAGGGAACUUAAAAAUCAAGGUUAAAGGUAAUUUGAAAAUUAAUGGAUAAUAAGUAAAAUAUCUAUUUUUAAGAUUUUCUGAGCUCCAAGGAACAUCAAUGUCUCCCUUGUAUGUUUAAGAUUUUUCAUGAAAUGACCAAAAUGAUUUCCAGACAAAUUCAGGGACCACUUCUAUCGAUUUUCGUUGUCAGCGACCAAAGUGAGGAGUUAUGCCAAUCUUAGGAACCAUUUUGGGUAAAAAUCCUAAAUUAGAUUACCUGAUGGCUGACUUGGCACAGGAAGAUUUUGCAAAUCACACCCAGAUGAUAUCUGCAAAUAGAGAAAGUUUUGGCCACUGAGAUGUUUCUGGAGUUCUUAUAGUAACACCUUAAUUCAAAUUGUCAAAACAAGUCUCUUAAAGAAAUUUUAACAAAUUCUGACCAUACCUCUUCCCUCUUUAAAUCUGAUUUGUGUGAGAGCAAACCAGUGGGUGUCGAACCUGGUUUAGCAGGACUGAAAGGAUUCUGGUAAACUGACUUUUCAGGUUUUGAAACAUCAGGCUGCUGAACAAGCCCAGAAGGGCGAUUACUCGGAUGUCCUCUAUUGUUGUCGUCAUCAUCAACCAACCAUCCUCCUUGUGCAUUUAUUGAGGAUGCUGGCAGUUGUACAGGCACUCUAGAUAGAAGAGGGGGCUCAGCAGAGCUUUGACUCCUUAUAUCUAGAUUAGGAGUUGUACCAAGGAGUCCUCUCCUCAUUUCAUGGUCACGAUCAGAAAAGCUAUCUCGUCUAACAGGAAGUCCAAGCAGACCAGGUUUCUGAGAAGGCAUGACCGGCCUCAAAGAUGUACCGGCAGCAUUGGGAAGAAUUGCAGUCGGUGCUUGAGAGUUGUCACACCUUGACUCGGCAUUUUUCACAGAUUGAACCACUGACUCCACGCUACCCUUAUCAUCAGAUGGGUUCAAUCUUCGUUCCACUUCGCUACCAUUCAUUCCUUCACUAAUGGGAGCAUUAGCAUUUCCAUUUGGUGCAAAACCGGUAUCCUCGAACAUCAAGUAAUUGCUCACAUCAGGAGCAGGAGGCAAAUUUACCACCUCAUCUUCAUAAAAAACUCCAGAAAUUCUUCGCAACAAAAUUUCAUCAAACUCUUUGAAAAAACAACCUCUGACAUUGCAUGCAACAUUUCUUGCUACACAGAGGACUGGAACUGCACUAGCUGUCUCUGCUUGAGGAGCAUAAUAAGGGGUGAAUGCUGGAACAACAUGGACUCGAGGUUGAUCCUUAUCUUCCCAGACCUUGGAACGGUCAUCAAUAACCAUUGCCAUCUUUGGAUGGCACACUCCUUGUUGGAAGACAUUGAGUAAAGAUUUCCUGGAGCCUGAUUUAACACAAACAACACGGUCCAGAAGCUGCUUUGAGUCUAUUAAGUGUGACCCUGGGUCAAGAAGCCUCCACAUUUCUAAGGCAUAAUCUCUUUCAGCCAUAGUACAGACGUAAACUUCAAACCUCUUGCGUCCUUUUGCAGUUAAAUAACUUCUCAAAUCUUCCCAUGCAGGUCGUAACCGCACAAGCACACUGGUAUCGCGAUUCUGCAUUAAAAACAACAUUGUAUUGUAGUCCUUUGCACAUUUGUAUGAGAAUAUGUAGCUACUAUAAUGAGAUUAACUACAUAUCACUCAUUCUACUUUUUUGUAAGAGGACAGAUGUUUUACUAUAUAAGUUCUGACAGCUUCCUGACUAAUCAAACCGCCACAUGAAUUUUGGAAAAUUUAAGAGGUAAAUAUCGCACAGAACGGGUGCAUGUAUCAAUGGAUAAAAAAGUUAACAUCCAUACGUUGAUCAAAAAAGCAAUGCAGGUGUUUGGAAAACCUACAAAGGUCUAGCUAAAUGAAAAAAAAUUUAAAACUGAAUUGCAAACAAGAUUCGCCUACGCUCUUAGCAUGCAGCCAAAUAUUUUGUCUGCCUAAGGGACACACUACGUAGUUUUCAUAACUUUUGCAUUAGGAUGGUGUUGUUCUCAAGUCCUAGGAAUGAGAGAUAUUGCAACGUAUUGUCUCAAUCCGCUCAUUCAUUAUCUCUAAAAAAAGGCAUUUAGCGCACUUCCCAAUCCACCAGGCCAAACAUAUAAAACAAAAGGACACAAACACAUAAAACAUAAAGAAACAAACAUGACUAGAGGAUCACCUCAGGAUUGAUGCGAGUGAGCACAAUGUUCUUCUCUGGCAAUCUAAUGAUAGGCCGAACAAUUUUCUCGUGGUUAUCAGACAGUGGAGGAACCUCCUCUAGUUGUACCUUAUACAACUUUCCAUUAUCCGUCACACAAUCAUUAUCUAUGUACUGCUUCAACAGCCACCUAUCGUCCAUGUACCGCUUCAUUUCAGCAGACAUUCCGGCCAUUCGAACCCCAUCACUCUCGCGUGCAACCCAGCUUCGUAAAGUCUCAACUCUAUCCUCAAAAGACUUCAUGGUGUUGGCAACAAUCAACGUCUCAUCGAGAUCAAACACAAUUGAAAGAACCCUCAGAUUCAGCAUUCCUAGAGAAGCACUGUACAGACCUAGAGGAACCGCAUAGCACCAAAAGCACGGAAAUUUCUUCUGCUUACUCGGCAUGGCUACCAAGUGAAUCUCUUCAUCCCCAACCAACACAGUCGCCGUCUGCGUAACACAAUUAAUCACCGCAUUAGUACACUCCGCUUGAUUAACUCGAAAAUAAAAACAAAAUCUGGAUCACAUUCUUCAUUUAAUCAAGAUACUAAGUGAGCUAACUUUACUAGGUCAGUUUAUCCAAUCAAAUUACAUCCAAAAACUUCAGAUUAAACUUCUAUGCUGCUGGUACAUUUUCUAGGGAACCAAACAAAAAGCUCAAUCUAACAAAACCAACAUAAAAAAAAAGCGAAAUUCGGAAAACGGAAGCGAUUGAGUGGGGACCUUGAACUCAUAGAAACAGGAGGCGUGGAGAUUGAUCAAAUGCGGCUGUUCGACAGGGGAGGACGAUUCGAGUUUGCAUCGAACCGAAAACGAAGAAAUCGUCUGGAGAAUCGAGAGGGGAGGACACCUCUCGCUUUGCUGCGAAAUCCGGUGGAUUCGAAUCUCAUUGUUUGGGAACUGGAAACUCCCCUCCGUCACCGGAAUAGCGUCCAGCUCCCCCAAACACAGCUCGCCAUGGUAGACCACGGACUUAAACCCUAAACGGCUCAUUAAUUUAGAUCAAUCCGAGAACGAAAGCGCGAAAAUUUGAGGCCAAUUCGUAAUUUGAAAAGAUCAGGGGGUUUUCUGUGAAAAAUUUGGGAGUAAUUCUCCAGUUUCGCUCUCUGCUCCUCCUUUCUCACUACUCUCAGACCUCUUCGCCCUCACUCUCUCUCUCUCUCUAACUUUCCCUCUCUAUCUCCCUCUCUCUGCCUACGGCUUCAAACAAUGAGACUCGCCGGGUAUUUAUACGCCCAAGGGGGCAGUUAUGUGUCCAAAUUACCAUUAUAUCCAUUCGGUCCGGACCCAUUGCCUUACGUGUCAUGCCCUUGGCGGGUAGACGAGAAAAUAAUUUGACGCGUGUCGUAUGGAGGAGUCCCAUGAUUUUGAAUGUACGGAUCCGAACCGUUGGAUCGUGGGUCGGAUUUUUGGACUUUUCCGAAUCGUUCAGCUCAAGAGGCAUCAAGAAUUGGCCACCGAAAUACAAAGGUACAGGUCUUUAUUAUUGCGAAAAUAAAAUGAGGCUAUUCAAUAGCCAUCGCGUAUUUCAUUACUUUUCUUCCUUUCCGUCCAAAAUUAGAAAAAAAGAAUAUCGAAUAAUUGAUUCAUCAUUGAGAGGAUUAACUCAAAAAAGACGAAUAUUGUGAUGCUUUAACAGCAACAGUUCAAACAAGACUUUUCCAUUUCGUGUACUGUGGAAAAUACGAUAUUAUUUUAUUUUUUAUUUUUUUAAUUCAGACAGUUAAUUUGAUUUUUGUCAGCUAAUUAACGGAAACCAGGCUGAACUUUGUUAUUACUUACAUGAAAUUUCAAUUUGAAAAUAUAUUUUAUACAUAUAUAUAUAUAUAUAUAUAUAUAAUUAUAAGACCAACAUCAAUGGUUAAGUUAAAAUUCAAAAUUUAAGUUUUAAACUCGUCCAAAAUUUCUCCAAUCAUUGGGCUAUAAAAAUGACUUGGAUUAAGACUUAUUUUUGGGAUAAAUUUAACUGAGAAAACAGACUAAGAUUAAUGGCUGAGACCCAGUUGCUAACUUUGUCAAUCACUUACAAAAUGAAAUUUUAACGAAAAACUUCCAGUACUUUUCACUUUAACGAAAAAUUAUAUUUUUACAUUAAAAAGUUAAUCCUGGUAUUAUUCACUUUAACUUUUAUUUUAUCCUUAUCAUUACAACUCAAAGUUUUUAAAAUUUUUUUUAUUAAUUUUCCUCUUACAAAAUAGCAUCGACUGUUUUUUUUUAUUUUUUUUUAUCUGACGGGCCACAUAGGAUGAGCUGAAACAGGAAAAGUUGUAUUUAUAAUGUUUUGGUACGUAAUUGACCGGGAAUAAACGUCGCGGUCAUAAAGAAUGUUAGUAAGCUGGGUGAGGUCCAUUUGGACUUUAUUUAAAUUGGGGGACUGUGAAAAUGGGCCUCUAGAGAUACUUGGCCCUCAAAAUCCAAUUAGAAGUCUCAAAUAGGAUUUGACAACUCAAUUUAUUGCAUGUGACUCUUUCUUAAUCGGUGAAUUGCAGUAGCGAAAUUACCAGCUGGUCUUUAUUUUUUAAUAAAAAAAAUAGAUUUCCAAAAACAUUUACUUUAUAAAUAAAAGUUUGCUAUUUGUUAGGUUUAUUGCAUGACCACACAUAUACGGGAUUCCAGGGGUUUUUUCCUCUCCUAAUUUUAAUUUUUUCCUCAAAAAAAUAUCAUUCACCUUAUCUCCUAAAAUCCUAAUCCUAAAGCACAGAACCAAGCUCCAAAAUCCAUCAUAACCCACUAAGCAAAAAAAGAAGCAAAAGCACAAAGAACCAAAAAUUAAAGUCAAGAACUUUCUCAUCUGUAAAAUGACAUUGAAAAAACAAAAGCUGGGAACUUUGAAGAAAAGUAGAUUACUGUGGAAUCUGGAACCCUAAGCUGAAAUGGGAGGCUCUGGAAUCCUGCUUAUGUAACGGAAAAGUGCUUUUGCGUUUCUGGGCCUGUAUGGUUUUAACCAAAAACCAAAACCCAAAUGGCAUAGAAACAGAGAAGGCAGAUGGCCGGUGGGAAAGUAAAGGGGGAGGAUUAAAUUGAAAACCCAUGUUGCGUACGAACAAAAGUUUAGGAAAUAGGAAUUGGGUUUAGUGAAUUAUCACUUUUCAGUGGGAAAUUUGAUAAAUUUGAAGAGAUCAAAAGCACCAAUUACAGAAACGAGUGAGAGGAGAGGCUAUGACUGUUCGUGAUGGCUGACAUUGUUUUUCUUGGGUUUAAUCUCUUACCCAAACUGCAAGGGAAGGGACAGAUUAGGCAAAUUUAAAGUGAGGGUUAUGGUGGAGAGGGACUUAAUGGGAGUGAUCACACUCGUAGGUCAAAUUUGAUUGAUUUGGGCAUUCUCCUCCAUAAUUCUUUAGGCAUUUUCUGGUACUGGUAGGUAAUCGGUCACACGGAAACUGCUCAAGUUUCAAACUCACCAAAACCAAGUUUUGUACAAAAGAAAAUAUAUCUUAGUUGAUUUUUUCUUGCUAGGAGGAAAAAUCCUUCUUUCUUGACGCACGAGAGAUUUUUGGGUUAACAUGCGGACGUUAUCAACCCAACUGGUUAACCUUUAUCAACAUUCCCUUCACUUCAAACACCUUAUUUACUGUUCGACAUAAUUAAGUAAGCGGAAGUGAUUUCCGCACUCAUUUUUCUCUCCUGCAUUCCUCCCCUUUUCUUAGGAUUUGGAUUGAAUAGGUCAAAAGAGAAUCAAGAGUCGGAAAAAAGGAGACAAGUGCAAAAGGAGAAAACAGGAAUGUGAAAUUCACUACCUUAAGCAACUCGACGUGGAAUGUUCUAAUAUGACAACAAUAUGAAGAAUGAAACCUUAAUAAUUUCAAGUUUCGUAGUUUGAAGUGAACAGCAAAAUGUAAAUGCCGAAGGAGGUCUUCAGCUUCCAAUCAUCAAAAUAUAAUACGAACAAUCAUGUCUACAGAGAAUAUGGUUCAUUGGAUGCACCUGAUAUUUGUUCCGCUAGCAAUGUGAGGACCGAUAUUCAGAACAGACGUGCACUCACAAGCUUUCUCUAACAUUUACAGUAUUAUCGCGUGCCUUCUACCAUCAGCUCCUUCAGGAAUGAGUUGCCGCUUAAUUAUCAUGCUGAUUAGGCCAACCCCAUGUCAAAUAAUAAUGUUGAGAUAAUGACGAGGAUGGAUGCAAAACCAAUAAUCCGGGGUUGAUGGUCACAUGGGGUGGUCACCUACCUCGAUGGCUUGCAGGAGAGGAAUUUCCUCUCUCACUUCCAAGAUCAAUAUCUUCAACUUCACACCCCUCCAAACUAACAGGAAUGGUGUUGACACUUGGUUCGGAGCUAGCAUUGCUGCAUGUGGCAAGAGGAGAAUCCAUAGCACCAAUUGUAUUGCUUUUUGUUGGUUUUGUUCUGACGCUAUACCCAGAGGAGGCUGGAACAUUUGUCAGAACUGGCCGUAGAUUGCCUGCCAUGCUUCGCUUUAUAUCCUGCAUAAGAAAAUUCCAAAAUUAGUUAAAAACUACUUCUUACAACGAGUGCUUUGCUAGUGACGCGGAUAAUUAUGUAUCACACCAAGCAUAAUUUGGAUAGUACUAAGUGGGUUGCAAGAUCUGAAUGCAGAACAUUACGCAUUAAGUGAAACAAAGUGCACUUGAACAACGAAGGUGAUACAUACCAUGUGCCUCAUAGCCAUAUCAAAGGACUUUUUAGAAAGAUUUCUUCCAAAGCCUGAGCUUUCAGAGGAUGAAGGCUUCCCAGCAGAACCCUUAAGAGUAGUGUAAUGGUCAUAUUGCUUAGGUGGUGCCAAUCUCCUCGAGUUUACUACUCUCUCAACCAUUUGUGUUCCCAUAAGUACAGGGUUCACAUCAUCAUUGUCAUGGGCAGAUGCUCUGCUUAUGACUCGAUGAGAGUUCCCACUGGUAGCGGUAAUAACAUUUGAAGCCCGUGCUCUAGAAGGUGAACACGAUUGCUGUCUUGGAUUUCCGUUGCAACCAGCCACAACAGAAGAUGUUUUAACACUUGGCGCUCCAGGCCUAUCCCUAGAGGCUGAAGCCGGCCUUUGUGGCAAUGAUGUUCUUAAAUUUGGCGGAGCAUCAUGUGAAAACCCAGGAAUCUUAGAGGAUUUUGAGGGCCUUGGUUUUACCGUUGGAGAACUUCCACGUGAUGAAACGGGAGUUUUUGAACUUGUGGGACGUAACUUUGAUGCUGAAGAAGAUCGACCAGGAGGGGCAGAUACAGCAGAUGCACUUGAUGAACUUAGUUGACGGGUUGGUGUCGCUGAUCUUGAUGUUGGUGCAGAAGGUCUGCCAGUUGGUGUAGAAGAGCGAGGAGUGGACCGAGAAGGAGUUGAAGAUCUCACUGGAGGAGCCGCAAGCUUUGCGGAUGAUGAGGUGGCUCGUGAAUUUGGGGUGGAGGAUCGUGAGGGCUUGGUUGAUGAAGGUAAUGUGGACCGCCCAGUUGGUGUUGUGGACCGUCCAGUUGGAGUUGUAGACCUACGAGUAGCAGCUCCUGACCCUCUGGGUGUUGAGGGCCUUCUGUUACCAGUACUGGAAGAGUUCAGUCCAGACGGCAAUGUUGGCUGCUUAGAUGUUAUAUUGUUCCUUGAAGCAGAUUCUAUCUGGUUGUUUGCUAGCUGAAAGUCCCAAGUUAUGGAAACAUAACAGCAUAAAUUUGCAAAUCAAGACUUCAAAAGUAAAAUGAAAUGUCCCAAAACAAACAAUAAAACACCACAUGCAGUCAUAAGUUUGUAACUCGUAAAGAAGACUAAAACUAUGGGAAGAUUCAAGUCCAACAUUACUAUGACACACAUACAUCUCAUAGAAUCUACGAUCAACGAGUCAAAUGUACAAAUGCUGCACGUACAUUUCAUAGAAUUAACAACAAUGAGUCAAAUGUACGAAUGCAGCACAUACAUCUCAUAGAAUUUAACGCUUAUAUGCAUCUAGAAAUCAUUUUAACGAGUCCUUACCCGAGAUUUUGGAGCGAAUACACGGUCAUUAGUAACCUCAGUCUGAUUCGUUAUUGUUUUCUGCACUUCCAUAUCCAAGGACGGAAAAAGUGGAGUAGCCGGUGGAGUAAGAAGCCUGUACAUAGAAAAGAUCACCGAUAAACGAUAGCAGAACAACUCCGGAGUCCAGACCAAAGCAUAGAGAUAAGAGCGAGAACUAUAACUAUAAGUCUACAAAAUUGAACAAGAAUUUCUAUGUGAAGGCUCAAAUCAAUUUUUCUUGAAAACAGCCCUUAGAAACAGAACAGCCCCCGAUUUUUCGGACACCUCAGCGAAAUGUUUUGGAAAUCAGAUCCCAUCUCAUUAGUCCUAGGAUAAUUAAUCCUAUCCAAUUUAGCAACAGAGCAAUUAUCUUCAUCAAUUCAACAAGUUACCAUGAUCGGAGGCUUAAACUUUGAUUAGUCCUAGGAAAAUUUAAUCCCACCAAAAAAUAAGCAUAAAAUCAAAGACUUGAACUUCGACACUAAUUUACUCACCAAUCGUAAUCAGACUUCUCAUUCUCCGAAUUCAAAAACUCAUCCACCCGGCUCUUCCGCGGCGGCGCCCCAACAGUCCUAGAAACCGCCGCGCCUCCGCGGUUAACAGAUUCUGCACAAACAAGCGCAAGCACCAUCAAAACCAACAGACAAAGACCGAAACUUUAAACCACAAACAAGAAACCCAAAAGGUCGUACCCGGAGGAGCAGCGGCGGCAAUAGCGUCGAGCUCAUCCGCGUUCUUGCUCGGAGGAAGAAGAAGAAAGCCGGUAUUUUUCUCCUUGUCGCGCCUCCGCAUCUCGAGAAACAAAGCGAGCUCUUCGUCUCUGUCGUUCGCGUUCACCACCUUCCCGAAGCUCCGUUCUCGCGCCCUCGACUCCAAUGUAACUUCCAUGGUUGUCUCUGCAGCUCAGCAAACACAGAGGCUGCUGCGAGGAGAGAGAGAGGAGGAGCGGAGUUUUUUGGUAGCUGAAAUUUUCAGGUGCUGUUUUUUCUUGGCAGUUCUCUCUCUCUCUCUCUCUCUCUCUCUCUCUCUCUGUUUUGCAAGAGUUCAGAAAUUUGAAUACGAAAACGAAGCAUUGGGAAAUUAAUAUUUUAUUUAUGGGCUAAGAGGUGGCGAUAAUUACGACUCUGCCAUUGUAUUUGUUCUUGCGAGACGCGGCCUUAGUCAUCUUCCUCAUCCACUGUAGACAUGUGAAGAUAAAGCUGGAUUGAAUUGGAUACAUGUAUGCGUGAUUUUUGGGAUAGAAAAAGCUUAGAACUUCUUCCAUAAGAUUCUGUAGGAGAAGAUUGAGAUUUGAACGCAUGACUUCAAGUGCAGAGUAAACGCUCUUAAUUACUUUAUAUAUAAGUAUCUUAUCUAGAAUGGUAAUCAAAGUUUAGCAUCUUAGAAACUCUUGGAAUUGGAUUAAAAGACGAGAGAGAAUUAAGUUACUGGUUCACUUUCCUCCAAAUAUAUCAAAAACAAACGUGUAGCUCAUUAGAUUGUUAAAUUUCAAUAUGUGACAAGGAAAAUCUCUUAAUAAGAUUUUUAUAUUGCUUGUAACUAGACUAUUUGUUUUAGUAUGUUGCAAAAUAUGUUCAAGAUUGUGAAUACAUAUUACAUUUGAUCACUCUAAUUACAUAAAAUGUGCUGUUGAGAGAUGUCACAGUCUGACAACAUAAUAUGUUAAACUGUGUGAUAAAAGAAUACUUUGCUCAUUUGUCAUGUUUGCAUGUGAACAUAUCAACUACAACCUCAACUACAUCGAGAUUUUGUGAUCAAACGUAAGAUAAAAACAAUUGAAACUCAUCAAUCAAUGGAUAACCCCUAUAACUUGACAAUAAACGAAUUGUUUUUUUUUUAAUAAUAACUCCCUACACUUGAGUUAAUAAUACACUUUCCAAACUAAUCAAAAAUUACAAACUUACAUAAAAUACUUGAUUACUUGCAAUACAAGAAAUCUUAUAAUUAAUAGGUCACCUCCUCAAUUCCUAAAAAUACUAUUCUACCCCCAUCUUUUAUGAAGUUGCUUGAAUGUACUAGUACAAGAAGCUCCAAAAUUAUUGAAAGAUUAUCACAUUCCAAGCAAAUGACGAAAUCAGUGGCAAUUUCGUAAUUAAGCGCUCAGGCAAACCCAUUUUCCAAACGAGAUAUAAAAUUCGGGAGUAACAUUCCCAUUACGUAAUGGCACAUGGUGGAAGCCGCGAGCCUUUGCCUGACGACAUGUCGUAUUAAAACGCCGAGGAAUUUAAUUCAAACUUUCUUGUUCAAAAGAUGCUCGGAUUUAAACGUGGGUUGUUGGAUUCCUUUCCUCGAGAUGGCCUACUCCACAUCGGACGGCUGUUGUUGGUUGGCAGAUUUAUUAGGAGCUUGUAUGUCGUGGGUCCCACCUCGAGAAUCGUGUGGUUUAAAUUUUGAUAUGUCUCGACAAUAAAAAAAAUUUCAAUAUGCCGAAACACAAUUCAAUAUACUAAAUGUCAUAAUAUAAAUAAUUAAAUAUUUAAAAAAUAUAUAUUUCAACUAUUUGUAUUAAAAUACUGUAUUGUCUGACACACUUACAAUUUCCCCUUAAUAUGCAGUUCGUGGGUCCGGAUGAGAUUGCAGAUUGCUGUGACUGGUCAGUCACCUAUGGCCCACACAAAGCCCAAUCCGAAAAGGAUCAUAUCAUAUGACUGUAUUUUUUAAGAAAAUGUUAUUGAUAUUUCAAAAAUCAUAUUCUACACUUAUUAUAAAUGUAUUUUUCUUUUUAAAUAUAGACAGUUUGGAGCGUUUAAGAAAAAUUUCACUGUAGAUCAUGUAAUUCAAUUUUUAAAAAUUUUGGACAUGAAGUUUGUACUUUUUUAAUUUGAUUUAACUUGCUAACUCAUUAGAUUUGAGGAUGAAAUUUCGCGUAGCACUACAUGCGUGUUUUAUAUGUUCGACUUUUUAUAGUAUUGCGUGUUUUAAAUCAGUUUGAAAAACUGAGAAUUUCGAGCGUUUAAACUAGGUUUUCAGGUUUCUGGCAAAAUAUUAAUCGUUGUUUUUAGGGCACGUUUUCUUAAGCCAAAGCACUUAAAUGUUACUUAUGCUCAUGCAUGUGAUGUCAUGUCAAAUUUCAGUUCUUAAUUUUAAUGGAAGGUAGGAAUUGAAUAAAGAAACUAUAAUAUACCAAAUUAAAUAAAGAAAACUAAUAAAAAAAUUUGAAACCUUUCAGUUUUAACAAUAAAAACAAAAUAAAUAGUAAAAUAAAUAGUAUCAGAAUUGAAUUUUUUAAUGUAAAAAUAUGAUUUUUCGUUAAAAUGAAUAAAACCAGAAGUUUUUUGUUAAAAUUCCCAAUUAAAUAAGUAAGGAAACUACAAAAUUAAGGUUUGCCUAAAAUCAGAAAAACAAGUAAGACAAUGCAUUUCUUAACAUCAAACUCCACACAUAAAAACUCAACCUUCCAUUUUCAAUCCCCUAAAACUAAAUUCGGGAAUCAAUAUCCAUACAUUCAUUUCUACGAAUCAAACAUAGCCUGCGUGUAAGUUUCGAGAGUAAAAUAGAAUAAGACAACAUUUUGUGUGAGGAUAGAAAUACAUGUGUUGUGUUAGGGUAUGGUUGGUACUCUACUUGAAUAUAAUUUUUUAAAAUAAAAAACAAUUUUAAGUUUUGAGCUUUAAAAACUUGUUUGGUAUGAUUAUUUUCAAAAAUUAAACUCAAGACUAACUAAAAAAUAUAGUCUAUUACCUAAAAACAUAAAAAAUGAGUUUUUAGAGUUUUUAAAUUUAAAUUCACUUAUUUCUUUUCUCUCCCUCCUCCCCCCUCACUCCAAAUCUAUUUCUCUCUUCUUCUUUCUCUGUCCUAUUUUUUUACCAUUUUCGUCUCUUUUUCAAUCCGUUCUUUUCAUUUUCUCCAUUCUUUCUCUCAUUUCUCUUCCUCUCUAUCUCGUCCAAUCCUCUAUUUCCUUUCUCUUUCUUUCAAUCAUCUCUUACUUUCUUUCAUUCUCUCUCCUCUUUCUGCCUCUCUUGCGACCUUUUUUUUUAGAUAUCUUUGUCUAGUUUAAGUCGUAAGAUUUAAAAUUUUUAAAUCGCAAACCAAUCAAGUUUUUGAGUUUUUAAAAAUUGUUAUCAAGAAAUGUUUUGAAAAAGGAUAAAGGAAUUCAAAUGGAAUACCAAACAUGCCCCUUAGUGUUUUCAGAUAUACGAUCAAAUACACUAAGUGCCAUAAUGCAAUUAGUUGAAUUUUUUUCUUCAAAUAUUUAGGCACUUAUAUUAUGACACUUAUGUGUCAGUGUUUCUAACACAUUCAAAAACUUUUUGUAUUUUUGGGGUCGGAAGUGAGUGAGACGUGCAUGGCAUGUUGCAUGCUCAAUCGAGCCCCAUGCUCCUCUCAUGUGUUAUUUGUAGUGGGUAAGGGGCACGUGGUUGUCGCAUCGAGUGUAGAAUUUUUGGUGAUAGUCGGAGCAAUCAGUGCCUAAGACAAUGAUGUUUUUACACCAUCAGGUCCUGUCGUCCCGAGACCAUACAAAGCAUUUGUAGCUGCAGAAUAAGAAUAAUUGCAAGUGGUAGGCAUCACCGCAUUAUUGCAAGGGAGAUGUUAACCACAUUCUCAGUUCAACAUUUUUGUUCUACUUUUUCGAUUCUCUUUUAUUUUGAUUUUUAUUCUCUUUCUAUUUUAUUUGUAAUGAUUGAAGAUGACUUGAACCGUCAACUUUUUAGGUCGUCCUUUAAAGAUCGACUUUAUAAAACACUUAUCAAAUCAAUCAACUUUUAGCUAUUCAAUUAACGUUGUUAAAAUUUCAAUGUUUAAUUGUUUGAUCGAAGAACAUGAUUCAUCUAAUCAUUGAAUACUAGUUUGAUGGCUAAAGGAUUUCACAUUUGGUUGAUUUUGGCAAAGAUAAUCUUUAUACAACGACCUAGAAAAUAAAGGGUUCGAAUCAUCAUACAAUGUUUCUAUCCGUUUUUAUGAUAGGCAACUAUGUCACUGAAAGCGGACGUUACUCAAAUGCUUAAGAGCAUUUACCUUUGACCUCGAGAUUAUUCGUUUGAUUCCCUCCGCUGGCAACAUCGCUGGAGAAUAACUCUCACAGAAUUAGAUUCAUGAAUGAAUAAUGAGCACAGAAACAAUGCAAUUUUCCGAUAGGCAACUUUUUAAGUAGAAGCAACAGUUCAUAGGAUAGGAAGGUGAAUUAGCCGCACAGGCUCGGUUAUAACCAGAAAAACAAAAUGAUCUGUUCAAUUAGACUCGCUCGGACUAAACAAAAUCAUCCGUUUCAACUCUCUUCCAUGAUAUUACCUUCGACAGUCUAGGAGUUUCAGAAGGUUGAAACUUUGUCGGAAGACCUGUAACGCUGUCAGUUGGUUCUCUAGGAAAAGUGUCCAGCAACUCAAUUCGCCAUGGACCAACUAACCACUGCUCCAACAACUCUCAACCCAAAGAGGCAUUGCAUCCGUAUCAACUUUAAUGGCCCUGAAACGUGAGGAGUCUCCACAAGAAAUUGGAUAUGGAUAUAUGGGGAGAUGGAGAAUGGCUUUCAUGAAAACAACCACACCCCAAUAGCCAUCACAGAGUGGAGAAGAAGGGCAAGGUCGCGAGGAGUCUGAUAAUGUAGAACAUUGUUCCUUUCACUCCAAAGAUACCAGCUGAUGAAUGGAAACCGACAAAGCUCUUCCCCUGACAAGACAUGCCGCAGCUGAUUCAAUAAAUCCAUAGCUGCGCCCCAACACCUUUGGGAACUGCAGCAGUAAAAGCUGUCAUUUCCUACUUGUCCAAACCAUAUUGCAUGCGCCAACGCUUCAGAACCCACCCCACAUCUGAAGCAUGAAGCUGAAUUCCCCACCCAGUGCUUGGAAGCAGAAUGCAGGAAAGUAGAAAGGCACGUCAUAAACAAACUAGUCAAAUCUGGUGCAUAUCUCCACAUGAAGUUCCAACAAGACCGUUCGUUCCCUGGAACUUCCCAGUUACAAGAGUAUCAUACGUAUCGUCAUGUGGUACAAGACCUUUGUCAAGCAUCUCAUCAUGCAACCUAAAAGCCUCUUGCAAAUGCCCCUCCUUGAAGUUCCCAGCAACCAAAGUAUUAUAAAUAUGAACACUGGGAGUCAUUCCCCUACUAUUCAUGUCUUCAAAGUUCUUUCGUGCAUUCUCUAGCUGUCCUUUGUUACGAAGGGCAUUUAUCAGAACUGUAUAUGUUCUUUUAUCAGGUACAAUUCCCUUCUGAAGCAUCUCUGAGUAGAGAUCUGUAGCAGAUUGUAACUCUCCCUCUCUUAGAAAUCCAUCAAUUAAUGUAGUGUAUGCUUUCAAAUCACAAGGAAUACCUUCUCUAAUCAUCCUGUUGUGCCAGUCAAGAGCCGCUUCCACGUUAUUUAAACUCCGGAAGCCAGAUAUCAUGCUACUGUAAACAGCUACAUUUGGAGAUAAACCAACUUGAAGGAGUUCGAAGAAAAGUUCACGCGCAGAUCCCAUGUCUCGUCUUUUACAAAACCCAUCAAUUAGAGCACAAUAUGCAGUAGCUCCAGUUCAAUGCCCUUGUUUUCCAUCUCAUUCCACAUUUUCAAAGCCAUAUCAAUUUGAUUGCUUAUGCAAAACCCAUUAAUAAUGCUGGUGUACGUGACAACAUUAGGAGAGACUCCACCUUCACACAUUUCUCUGUAUACAGCCAGUGCAGAAUUAAUGUCACCCUCCUUGGUAUACCCAUUUAUAAUGCUAUUGUAACUAACACAUCCAGGAAUAAAACCCCUCGCAACAAUUUUCUUUAACAUAUCACUUGCCUCGGAUGUACGACCAGCUUUGCACAAGCCAUCGAUGACAAUGCCAACUGUGAAGCCUGUGGGAGAAAUCUUGGCAGCCACCAUAUCAUCAAAGACAUGCUCUACAUCACCGUUCUUGAAGUAGCCGUUUAUCAAGAUAUAUUAAGUCACAUCGUUUGGUUUCAAACCCCUUUUAAGCAUCUCCACAAAUACACUGCGUGCAUGCUCCAUAUUCCCUAUUCUGCAAUAGCCAUUUAUCUUGCUAUUGUAAGAUACUACAUUAGGUACCACACCUUUACACAUCAUUUUAUCCCAUAAACUACAAGCUUCACUUACUUUACCCUUCCCACAAAGCCAUGAUAAGAUAUUAUUAUAUGAGAAAACAUUAGCAACACCACACUCAACAACCUCAUCAAACAAGUUAGACGCAUUUCCAAAUGACCGAUAUUUCAAAAAUCCUCAUAGCAAAUGAUUUACAAUGAAGACAUCAGGAAAAAUAUCCAUGUCUUUCAUUUGCGUGUAAAGCUCAUAAGCCUUUUCCAUGUUCCCAUUCUUACAGCAGUAUUCUAUAAGAAUUGCAUACGUAACCCUGUUUGGAGUAAGUCCAUCCUCUAUAAUCAUAAUGAACAAACCCAAAGCACUCUCCAAAUUCCCUUGCACACAAUAACCCUUCAUCAAGCUUGUAGCAGCAACCAAAUUAACUGGGUACCCACAACUUACCAUACCAUCCUUAAUCCUUAUGGCUUCAACCAUAUUCCUCUGCUUCACACAAGCCGUGAUGACACUGCUAAACGUGACCACGGAAGGAACCCACCCCAUUUCUCUCAUUUCAUCCAACAACUCCAAAGCCAAACACGAAUUGGGUUUCUUACAAAAAGCUUCAAUAGCAACACUAUAGGAUGCUGCGUCAAGUUCUACCUCUCUUGCCCUCGCCUCUCGAAAGUACUCCUCUGCGUCAUCCGGCUUCCCCUGCUUCAAACAACCACGCAUCAUCACGUGUAGAGUGACACGAUCACCUCCAAUUCCUCUCAAAGCCAUUUUAUCAUACACCUCUCGUGCUUCCCCCAUCAUAUUUCUCCUAACCAAUUCUGUUAAAAGAAUAUUUACAUACGUAACACAAGGACACAUCUCAAGCUCCAGAGUUCUACUAAAGCAAUCAAUGGCACAUUCGAUUCGAUUGGCUCUAACAUAAUUGUUCAAUAAAUAGCCAAAAACCUGAGAUUCUAGUUCAAAAUCAAACCGUUUGGCGCAGUCCACCAAGUGAUGGACAAAGACGCCCGAAUUGCCGGAAACGUACUGGUUAAGCAACAUCUUAGCACGCCUGUGAGUCUUCGGAUUGCCCAUCAAAAUGUGAAGCAACACACAAACGGCAUCGACACCUCUGACAAAACCUCGCUCCCUCUCACCCCAUUUGAAGUAAUUUACUGCCGAAUUGGGCUUGCUUUUGUGGCUAAGAAGAGUGCUGAUCACACUGGUUUGUGUUAAUUCCGAGUCUUCAGAAACUGGGGCGGCGAACUCGCCCUGAUUGGGGUCUGAUGCAACUGGGUUUUCCUGAAAUUCGAUUUCUCAUGUGGGUUUCUCGGGAAAAUCAGAUUUUGAUGUGAUUUUCUCGUAAAAAUCUGUGCUUGGAUUGGAAUUCCCGGAAAAUGGCGGCGAUUCUGAAUGGGGUGUUGGAGAGGAAUUUAGGGUUUAAGAAAGGAAGACGACGUAGUACAGGGAGUGGCGAGGAGUGGAGGGACUUCAUUGUUUGGGGUCCUUUGCUGCAGAAGAAGAAAUUGAAGAAACCCUGAUGGAGAUCAAAGGCUUCGGCUUGGUGGCAUAGUGAUGAAGCGAGGAAGGGGAUGACAACAGAGGCUGCGGCGCGAGCUUUGGCCAUUUACGGUUUUACCCCCUUGAGAUAAAAUUCAAAUCCCCAAAUACAUAUUAAGGAUAUUAAUUGUUUGAUAGGCAAAUCAGAAAAUGGCGCUUAACAAAAAAUUACCACAUAAUUAUUUAUUCAUACAUAAGUGAAAUGUUAACUUCGAUUUUCGUAGAUGGUGAGUUUUAUACCAUCUAAUUCUAGUGUGUCACAGCCCGUCCCAGAAUUACUUAAUACCGAGGACGUGAAAUUACAGAAACGCCCUUAAACGGGAUUAAGGUGCGUAAUUUUGACAUUUGUUUUACUUUAAGAUCCUAAACUAGGGUUAGAAUUAUAUAUUUGUAUGUGUUAAUAUUAUAUGGGUUAAGGUAGGGCCUUAUACCCUAAAUCCCUCCCCAAAAUCCGUUUUGUUGUCUCUCUCUCAUCUCCCUAGUCACUCUCUCUCUCUUAUUCUUCAGAAAACACUCUCUCACUCUCUCUCUUACUCUCAUUCUCUCUCAAACUCUCGGACAAACACCCAAGACCUUGAAAACUUCACAAGUUAAGGUUGAGGAAGGUAGCAUCGUGUUCGUAAGGACCAUACGAACACAUUGAUAUUGUUUUCAGGUAAGAUUUCCCACGAUUCCAUGUAGAAAACUUAAGCUCCGAGAUUGCUACUGUUCAUGAACUUAAAUUUGGUUGUGUUUUAGGUUAAACAAAGAUCACCACGAGUCUUAGGAAGUCCCAAGGAGGCUCGGAGUGCCUCGUUUGAACAAAAUGGACGUCGGGAUCGUCGGGUUCGAGUUUGGCCGAAAUUGAGGAAUUUUGGAAGGUAUGAUCUCGUAGUUUUUAGGCCUUAAAACCCUUCCAACGUGAUAGUACAUGUUAAAUGCUUCAUUUUGGUGUAAAAUUCGAAGAAAUUGGACGAAAAACGAAGGAGAAUAGUGGAUUUGAAAAUUUUCCAGAAACCGGCGACCGGCGACUCGCCGGAGAAGACAGGGAAUCUUCCGUCAAGUUUGACGGAAUAUUCCGACGCCGUUAGUUAACUUUAACGGAAACCGUUAGUUUUUAACGGAAUAUUCCGGGAAUAUUCCUAACGCCGUUCACUGUACCGUCAGUGUGCCUGGCACGUGGCUGCGCGUGGGCCGCGCGUAGGUCCGUGCCACGUCAGGCGCGUGGGGGCGCGUGGAGCAUCCAAAAAUUAUUUUAAAAAUAUGGGGAUGAUCCUGAGGUUGUGUAGGUCACUGUGGUAUAUUCAUAUACCCAAUUUGAGCAUCGUAUGAAGAAUUUAUUACCUAGUUGGUUUAGGUGCGUUUAAUGUGCGUUAAAUGAUUGUUUUAAGUUAUUUCACUUCUAGGUGGAACUUUUAACGAGGACGAGCACAUCCAGGGGCGUCAAGGGGGUUACGACCCGGCGACAUACCAGUGAGUGGGCAUUGCUUUCUAUAUAUAUACCUAUAUACUCGAUUUCCCCAGAAAUCAAAUUUAAAUGAAAAAUAUAUUGAAAUGAAAUGAAAUAUGAUGUGAUUGCCAUGCAUAGAAUGUUAUGGAUAUUAUGAACUGUCGUAUGAUGCAUAUAUGUAUGAUGGUGCUGUGGACGCACAGGUAAGUAUUUAAUUACUGUUAUGUUGAGGAUGAUGAUAUAUUGAGCUCAUAUCCUGCACCAUGGUUUAGUGCUUAUAGUAUUCACCGCAUCGCACGCUCGCCUUGGAUCCAAGUAGAUGCUGGUCGUACAGUCCACGCGGAGUGGGUACGACGGGCCAGUCGUAGAAUGUUAGUGAGAUUAUGACUGGUGGGUGACCUUAGGUUAUUGUAUACAGAUGAUUGAUGAGAGAAGCACUUGAGCGAAUAUUACCAUGAGUCGUUCAGACUGCAUUAGGUGGUUCCGACUUAUGUGCAGAAGGCCGGACAGGUCACGCGGAGUGACUCCGGCAGAGAGUGAGAUUGAUAGAUGUUGAGCUCUAGGUUCAAUCGUUCAGGACUAUUAGAGGGCCUCCGAUUGAUUAUUUCUUUUACCUGAUUUAUAUUAUGUCAAUGCAUUCAUACUAAACUGCUGAAUUUGGCAUGGUACAUUCUUUAUUGAAUCUGCUAUAAGAUUGUUGAUCGAGACAGUUGAGAUAUAUAUGCUAUAUACUAUUUUUCUGGGAAAGUAUACAGGUUUUCCAAAAAGGGGUUAUAAAUGUGGAUUUAUGAAAUGUUUUGGAAAAGCUUUAUUUUUCGCCCACUCACGUUUUCUGUUUUUCGCCCCUCCAGGUUCUAGUUGAUAGUUGAGGCGUUGGUGGCCUACGAGGACUGCUUCGGCGUUCUGACAGACUAAAUAAAUGUAGGAUUCACCCGAGGGUGUUGUAAAAUAGUUAUGGUCCUACUUGACUGCACCUAGACGCUUAUGCUCUGUUUAUGUGUGUUUAGUACACUCUUAUGCACAUAGAAUGCUAGGUUGUAAAUAACUGCAAUUAGUGGUUUUCGUUGACUCGUAUUUUAUUAUUAAAUCGUUUCCGCUUGCGUUAUGGUUACGUCACACUCACGUGACGGCCAGCACGUUCUAGUCUUCGGGUUAGGGUGUGUCAGUUUGGUAUCAGAGCAUAGGUUGCAGUCCUGUAUAACUAGUGAUUUUACUUAUUAAUUUUUGGAUGUUUUCUGUCAGAAUUAUGCCGCCUCGUAGAGAUCCUCGCCGUGCUGCUGAGCCUAAUUUCCCCGAUAUAACUCAGCUAGGGGCAUCAAUGGCUCAAGCUUUUCAGGCUAAUAUCCGUCCUCCUCAGAGAACACCUGUAGAGACGAUGUAUAAUCUGAAAUUGGAAACCUUUGAGGGAAAUGAAGGUUAUGAAGGGGCAGAAAAGUGGUUGGAUCGGAUUGAGCAGACCUUUCAAGUGAUGCAAAGUCAAGGAAACCUGCCAGCUAAUAGAUGGGUGGAGACCACCACCUGGUUUUUGGGCCGUGAGCCAGCGGCGUGGUGGAUAAAUCAGUCGAGGCACAUGGCACCUGAAAGGACAGCCGAAUGGGAGGUAUUUAAGGAAAAUUUUAUGAAGAGAUUUGUUCCUCCGGAAUAUAUAGAUCGCAAGAAACAGGAAUUCACCAGUCUGAAGCAGAGAAAUAUGUCCGCACAUGAGUACUACAGGAAGUUUACUGAUUUAUCCCGUUAUGAUUCUGAUUUAGCGGGUAAUCAAGCAGAAAUGCUUCGUCGUUUCAAGUUAGGAUCUAAGAAGAAGUACAGAACGUUUGCCAAUGCACUUCCCUGUGCCGAUUAUCAUGAGUAUUUUGAGAUUCUGGUCCGGAUGGAAGACUCUGAUAAUCUUCCGGACAGUGAGGAUGAAGAGGAUAAGGGUAAUGGUCAGAAGAAAAAUGAGAAAGGUAAAGGUGUUUCCAUUCCAGGACCUCGUCAGAUGCAGAAUUUUAAGAAGAGUGGAAUGAGUUCUAGUUCUUCCAGUGGUGGAUUUAGUGCCACAGGUCCGAGGAGAGGAGGUGGUAGGUUUGGUAAUGGACCUAGAUUUUCUGGUCAGAGAGGCUUUGGUGGUACUGGUAGUUCGGGUUCUCCGUUAUGUCGCCGUUGUAAUUUCCGACAUUAUGGGGAAUGUAGGAGAAUCAGUGGUGCAUGCUUUACAUGUGGUCAGACAGGACAUAGAGCUAUGAAUUGUCCCCAGAAUCAGCAGAGGCCCCAGCAGCCUGUUAGGCCAACACCAGCACCGACUCAACAGAACUUUAAUUCAGGCAGUUAUGGCCAGGUUGGUCGUGGUGGUGCUUAUCAUUAUCAGGGUGAUGCUACUCCAUAUGCUCCAGGACAGUAUCACUAUUCCCAGGAUCCUUAUUCUCAGAGUGGAUAUUCUCAGGAUCAGGGAGGUUAUACUUCAUAUCCGUCUAUGCCAGCUAGCGGAUCUCAGUGGUAUCAGGGGGGUCAGCCCCAACAGAGCGGAGUUGCUGCUAGCAGUGCAGGGUCGUUUAGGCCGCCUGCCCAGACAGGUCAAGGAAGUAUUCAUCAGGGACGAGGUAAUCAGAGUGGCAGAUGUCGUGGAGGACGACAGCCAGCUCAGGGACGUGUUAACCACAUAUCGCUGCAAGAUGCUCAGAACCAUCCAGACUUGAUUAUGGGUACGUUGAAUGUUCUUGGUCAUUUUGCUAGAGUCUUGAUUGAUUGUGGUGCUACACACUCUGUGAUUUCUCAUACAUUUGCUCAAAUGACACAACCUCAUCCUUCACCUCUAGGGUUUGAUUUAGAGUUUGCUAUGCCUAGAGGGGAUAAAUGUUAUGUUGAUAGUUUUUACUCUGGGUGUCCAGUGAUGGUAGAUAAUGUCAUUAUGCCUGCUAAUCUUAUCCCGUUAGACAUCGUGGAUUUUGAUGUGAUUUUAGGGGCGGAUUGGUUGCAUUAUAAUCGCGCCCAUAUAGAUUGUUACGGGAAAUCAGUUACUUUUCUUCGUCCUGGACUACCUGAGGUUACAUUUGUGGGUGAAAGAAAUGGGGUGAGGCAUGGUGUUAUUUCAGCCAUAAGGGCAAAGAAGUUGUUAUCCAAGGGUUGUCAGGGAUACUUGGCACAUGUGGUGUUAAAUGAUGUUGAUUCCGGUAGUGUGGAGGAAGUCGGAGUAGUCAGACACUAUCCUGAUGUAUUUCCAGAUGAUUUACCUGGGUUGCCUCCAGAUAGAGAUGUGGAAUUUUCGAUUGAUUUACUUCCAGGUACGAACCCUAUCUCUUUGACUCCUUAUAGAAUGGCACCAUCGGAAUUAAGAGAGUUGAAAAUUCAAUUGCAAGAGUUAAUUGAUAAAGGUUUCAUUCAGCCUAGUUCUUCACCGUGGGGAGCUCCGGUGUUGUUUGUAAGAAAGAAAGAUGGAACUUUGAGAUUGUGCAUUGAUUACAGGCAAUUGAAUCGGGUGACGAUUAAAAACCGUUAUCCCUUGCCUCGUAUAGAUGAUUUGUUUGAUCAGCUCAAAGGUGCCUGUGUGUUUUCUAAGAUCGAUUUGAGGUCUGGGUAUUAUCAAUUAAAGAUUAAAGAUGAGGAUGUUCAUAAAACAGCUUUCAGGACUCGUUAUGGGCAUUAUGAGUUUUUGGUGAUGCCAUUUGGAUUAACGAACGCUCCUGCAGCUUUCAUGAGAUUGAUGAAUGAAGUAUUCCAGGAAUAUCUUGACAAGUUUGUUAUUGUUUUUAUUGAUGACAUCCUGGUAUAUUCUAAGUCGAAAUCAGACCAUAUUCGACAUCUUAACUUGGUGUUAAGGAAAUUGAGGGAACACCGAUUAUAUGCCAAAUUUAGUAAAUGUGAAUUUUGGCUGGAUCAAGUGGCAUUUUUGGGACAUGUGGUAUCAGCUCAGGGAAUUCAAGUGGAUCCUCAAAAGAUAGCAGCAGUGGAAAAUUGGGAACAACCUCGAACGGUCACUGAGGUGCGGAGUUUUCUUGGUUUGGCAGGUUAUUAUAGACGGUUUGUUCAAGACUUUUCUAUGAUUGCCUUGCCAUUAACGAAGUUAACCAGGAAGGAUGUUAAGUUUGAAUGGGAUGAAAGUUGUGAGCAAAGUUUCCAGCAGUUGAAGUAUUGCCUUACUCAUGCACCUGUGUUAGUACUUCCUGAUGAUGAUGGUAACUUCGAGAUCUAUAGUGAUGCUUCUUUGAAUGGUUUGGGUUGUGUUUUGAUGCAGCAUAGUAGAGUGAUUGCCUAUGCUUCUAGGCAGUUGAAGACUCAUGAAAGAAACUAUCCGACUCACGAUCUUGAGUUAGCAGCUAUUGUGUUUGCUUUGAAGAUCUGGAGACAUUAUCUCUAUGGCGAGAAAUGUAAGAUCUUUACAGAUCAUAAAAGCCUUAAGUACCUUUUCACUUAGCAUGAUCUUAAUCUUCGUCAGAGAAGAUGGUUGGAAUUGUUAAGUGAUUAUGAUUGCACGAUUGAGUACCAUCCGGGUCGUGCAAAUGUGGUAGCUGAUGCUCUGAGUAGAAAACCUCAAGGGCGACUUAAUGCUUUGUAUGCCAGUCGUGUUUCUCUUCUUGCAGAGUUGAGAUCUACUGGAGUAGAGUUAGAAUUGGAAGAGCAAAGUGAAGCUUUUCUUGCCAAUUUUCAAGUCAAGCCAAUUUUAAUUGAUCGGGUGCUUACAGCUCAAUCGUUGGAUGAAGAAAUUCAAGAAUUGAUCAGUUUAAGAAAGGAAAGCUAAGCCCCAGGUACAUUGGACCUUAUGAGAUCACUGAGAGGAUUGGUGAAGUUGCUUACAGGUUGGAGCUACCUCCAGAGUUGUCUAAGGUACAUAAUGUGUUCCAUGUCUCGAUGCUUCGACAUUAUGUUUCAGAUCCUUCACAUGUGAUUCCUCCUCAACCAUUGGAAAUUAAUCCGGACUUGACGUACGAUGAGGAACCAGUGACUAUACUGGAUUGGAAAGAUAAAACUUUGAGGAAUAAGACCGUGAACUUGGUAAAAGUAUUGUGGAGAAACCAUUCAGCGGAAGAAGCUACAUGGGAGACAGAAGAACGGAUGAGAGAUAUGUAUCCGAGGCUAUUUUAUGAGUAUUGAGGGUUUGGUUGGUGACUGGAAUUUCGGGGACGAAAUUCUAUAAGGAGGGGAGAUUGUCACAGCCCGUCCCAGAAUUACUUAAUACCGAGGACGUGAAAUUACAGAAACGCCCUUAAACGGGAUUAAGGUGCGUAAUUUUGACAUUUGUUUUACUUUAAGAUCCUAAACUAGGGUUAGAAUUAUAUAUUUGUAUGUGUUAAUAUUAUAUGGGUUAAGGUAGGGCCUUAUACCCUAAAUCCCUCCCCAAAACCCGUUUUGUUGUCUCUCUCUCAUCUCCCUAGUCACUCUCUCUCUCUUAUUCUUCAGAAAACACUCUCUCACUCUCUCUCUUACUCUCAUUCUCUCUCAAACUCUCGGACAAACACCCAAGACCUUGAAAACUUCACAAGUUAAGGUUGAGGAAGGUAGCAUCGUGUUCGUAAGGACCAUACGAACACAUUGAUAUUGUUUUCAGGUAAGAUUUCCCACGAUUCCAUGUAGAAAACUUAAGCUCCGAGAUUGCUACUGUUCAUGAACUUAAAUUUGGUUGUGUUUUAGGUUAAACAAAGAUCACCACGAGUCUUAGGAAGUCCCAAGGAGGCUCGGAGUGCCUCAUUUGAACAAAAUGGACGUCGGGAUCGUCGGGUUCGAGUUUGGCCGAAAUUGAGGAAUUUUGGAAGGUAUGAUCUCGUAGUUUUUAGGCCUUAAAACCCUUCCAACGUGAUAAUGCUUCAUUUUGGUGUAAAAUUCGAAGAAAUUGGACGAAAAACGAAGGAGAAUAGUGGAUUUGAAAAUUUUCCAGAAACCGGCGACCGGCGACUCGCCGGAGAAGACAGGGAAUCUUCCGUCAAGUUUGACGGAAUAUUCCGACGCCGUUAGUUAACUUUAACGGAAACCGUUAGUUUUUAACGGAAUAUUCCGGGAAUAUUCCUAACGCCGUUCACUGUACCGUCAGUGUGCCUGGCACGUGGCUGCGCGUGGGCCGCGCGUAGGUCCGUGCCACGUCAGGCGCGUGGGGGCGCGUGGAGCAUCCAAAAAUUAUUUUAAAAAUAUGGGGAUGAUCCUGAGGUUGUGUAGGUCACUGUGGUAUAUUCAUAUACCCAAUUUGAGCAUCGUAUGAAGAAUUUAUUACCUAGUUGGUUUAGGUGCGUUUAAUGUGCGUUAAAUGAUUGUUUUAAGUUAUUUCACUUCUAGGUGGAACUUUUAACGAGGACGAGCACAUCCAGGGCGUCAAGGGGGUUACGACCCGGCGACAUACCAGUGAGUGGGCAUUGCUUUCUAUAUAUAUACUUAUAUACUCGAUUUCCCCAGAAAUCAAAUUUAAAUGAAAAAUAUAUUGAAAUGAAAUGAAAUAUGAUGUGAUUGCCAUGCAUAGAAUGUUAUGGAUAUUAUGAACUGUCGUAUGAUGCAUAUAUGUAUGAUGGUGCUGUGGACGCACAGGUAAGUAUUUAAUUACUGUUAUGUUGAGGAUGAUGAUAUAUUGAGCUCAUAUCCUGCACCAUGGUUUAGUGCUUAUAGUAUUCACCGCAUCGCAACGCUCGCCUUGGAUCCAAGUAGAUGCUGGUCGUACAGUCCACGCGGAGUGGGUACGACGGGCCAGUCGUAGAAUGUUUAGUGAGAUUAUGACUGGUGGGUGACCUUAGGUUAUUGUAUACAGAUGAUUGAUGAGAGAAGCACUUGAGCGAAUAUUACCAUGAGUCGUUCAGACUGCAUUAGGUGGUUCCGACUUAUGUGCAGAAGGCCGGACAGGUCACGCGGAGUGACUCCGGCAGAGAGUGAGAUUGAUAGAUGUUGAGCUCUAGGUUCAAUCGUUCAGGACUAUUAGAGGGCCUCCGAUUGAUUAUUUCUUUUACCUGAUUUAUAUUAUGUCAAUGCAUUCAUACUAAACUGCUGAAUUUGGCAUGGUACAUUCUUUAUUGAAUCUGCUAUAAGAUUGUUGAUCGAGACAGUUGAGAUAUAUAUGCUAUAUACUAUUUUUCUGGGAAAGUAUACAGGUUUUCCAAAAAGGGGUUAUAAAUGUGGAUUUAUGAAAUGUUUUGGAAAAGCUUUAUUUUUCGCCCACUCACGUUUUCUGUUUUUCGCCCCUCCAGGUUCUAGUUGAUAGUUGAGGCGUUGGUGGCCUACGAGGACUGCUUCGGCGUUCUGACAGACUAAAUAAAUGUAGGAUUCACCCGAGGGUGUUGUAAAAUAGUUAUGGUCCUACUUGACUGCACCUAGACGCUUAUGCUCUGUUUAUGUGUGUUUAGUACACUCUUAUGCACAUAGAAUGCUAGGUUGUAAAUAACUGCAAUUAGUGGUUUUCGUUGACUCGUAUUUUAUUAUUAAAUCGUUUCCGCUUGCGUUAUGGUUACGUCACACUCACGUGACGGGCAGCACGUCCUAGUCUUCGGGUUAGGGUGUGUCAUAGUGACUAAAAAUUAUAUGACUUAAAAAUACUGGAACACUAUUAUAUUCUAUAGAAAAAGAUAUAAACUUGAUGUGAAAACAUCAGACUAACUUGACAUACUUAUUUUAGUCACAUUUGCACCGCUUCUCAACUCAUAUAUUUUGUUUACUAAAUAAUGUGAGUGUUUGUUCUUAUCCAACGUCUUUAAAUUUAUUUUAGAAGAAAUUUGUAAUUGAAGUGGUUAAGAGUAUUUACUUGUAAACCUAUUUGUUUCUCCCAUUGCAACAAAUAUUGGGAGGAGAAAAUCAAACGCAUAACCUCUAAACUACUUUUAGUACAAUACUCUUUUCAUUAUUUUAAAUUUGCUACUCCUGAGAGUGUAGUUUAGUUUUUCUAAGCAUACCUUCAUAGGCACUGCAGAAGUCAAGAGUCAAGGAACUAGACCUUUGUAAGUUCAAAGGUCUCAUCAAAACCUCAAUCCAUCAUGCCAAAAUGACGAGAUUUUGCCCUAUCAUCAGGAACAUAUCCCCGUACGAGUGUCUCACUCAUCAUGUGACCUUAUAAUAUAUUAACAUGUCUGUAUAUUUCCAGUGAACCUAAAAGAGCGAUAGCAAACCAGAUGUAAGCUAAUACUUUUUUUUGAAGAACUUGAUUAGCAACUGUAUUGGUCAUCAAUACCAUGUUCUAAAUCAAUUAGCAAAGCCUACUCAAUAAAGAAAAUAGAUUGCUAAGAAUUUACAUUUGAAACUAAUAGUGCAGUUUCCUGAAUGGAUGGGAAAUCAAGCCUCAUCACCAUCGCUUCCGCCAAUCUGAGCUUCGAGAGCGAUUGAGUAGUUGCUUCCAUCAGGACCGAGAAUCUGGAAUCUGCUCAAGAACACAGAAAAUCACUCUAAAAGCUUUUAAUUCAGCAACCACAGACGUCGAUUUGGUUUUACCUCUCAAGGAUACACUUUCCUUCCUUGUACUUCUGGGAUUUCUCAUGCGCCGCCUCCUGAAAUCGAUGACCAAAAUAAAACUCUCAUUCAGCUGUCACUUUGAUGCAAGUACUGCAAAUACCGAAAACAAAUAAAGCAUCGUUUUGAAGAAAAGAUAUCCUUACAUAUUUCCAUCCCACAUUUGAUCCACACGAAACACAAAAUAUGUCAGCAACGGUAUGCAAUCCUGUUAUCAUGAUCCGCUCUUCUUUCUCUCCAAGUGUGACAUUUACGCUGCCAUACAUUGGGGAAACGAAGGGUUAACUCAGCAUUCAUAUGUGUAAGCUGCACUUGAUGCAGUUAUGAAUAAGCCUUCUUCAUAGGAUUCAAGUGAACGAAAAUGCGUUUAUGAGACAAAUGCAUUAAUUAGUGAAUUUUGGGAGAACAAUACUCCAAAAUAGAUUUGCUAUGCUGUCACUGAUUUCAUUAAUUCUAUUUCUUUUGCCAUCCUCAAAGUUAAGCUUUUCAAAAUUCAUCAACCGGAAUGAAUCCUCUGGCCUAUAUCAGACCGUGUUCGGUUUGGUGCUUCAAGUCAUUUCAUAUCGGUGGACAAGAAACGAUACAUGCACAUAGGAUGGCCAAGUUUUUUGUGGCAAGUGAGACCAAUAUAAACUCACAUGCUCGUAACCCUAAAACUGAUAUACAAGCAUCCAUAGCUAUGACUGAAUCUAUUCAAAUUUUCAACCGUAAAAUAGUAUUACACUUACACUUUAUCGAAAAGAUAAGCCUUCCCAUGCCUGGAGUGAAAAGACUGGAACAAAAACAGAAGCAAAUCAAGGGGUUAGAAUGUCACUUAUCAAUCCUAAAUUCCUGAUAUCAAACAUACACCAUACUGUAUCGCUUUAGUUUCCAUAUGAUCAGCGUUCAAACCAACAGUAACACAAAUAACCAGGACAACAUUUUGGUCUCGAAUUAUAGUAGAGAACAGAGACGCAAGUUCCUAUCUAAUCUUCCAGCCAAAAUUUAACAAUUACACCAGGAAAGUGUAAAAUAGAUACCUUGGACGUAAUCUUAGCAGGAAUUGAAGACCUAAUUCUUCUCCAGCAAGUAAAGCAACAAUCUGUGUUCCUAGAAUUGCAUAAUUAAACCCGGAAUAUCAUCAUAGAGGGUUGCAGAUAAAGGUUCAAAAUCUUGAGCAUUUUGCGUAUCCGUUCAUCAAACGCGCAAGCCAUGAAGCCAAAGCUGAUUGUGAUGAGCCAUAAACAGAAUUAGGAAACGAAGGCCUGCACCAUGAAUAAAAGAAGGAACCCAGAAACAACCCAAUGUUUGAGCUUCCAAUCUCAACCAGUCUGAACAUGAACCAUCACAUUGUGCUACGGUAUAAAGGUAUCACAACUCCUCAAUAUCACAAACAAAACUCUCUAAACAAAACCUAAACCAACAAUUUACGUAUCACAACUCCUCAAUAUCUAAUGAUUAGACCCCCUAUCUAUCACUUAUUGGAAUUUAGCUUAACAAACCCACACAAACUAAAUUCUUACGUCCACCACCGAUAAAUCUCUCAUCGAAAAUUCGCCACACAUUUACAUAUCACAACGAUGCAUCAUAAUUUCACAGAGUUCUUGAAUGUCCAGGUAGCGUGCAUUAUGCAAAUAAACAGUAAAAAUUCAUAACAAACAGAAUUACGGGGAAGGCGAUUUCGGACCUUAGAGAUUACGUCGUCGACAAGAGCGAGAUGGGUUCUGCAGUGCUUGCAGCUAUACAUGUUUUCCUCAAGAGUGAUCACAAACAGCCUUCCCAUUUCUCACAUACAAUUAAACUUUCUUAAUUCUUGAUUUUCUUUUCCCUACAAAAACACAAAGAUCGGCCGCCAUGUUAGAAAUUCAAGCAUUCCAAAAGAAACCCAGAGAUUACCUUCACCAAAACUUGAGAAAAAUCAACGUGAUAAAACCUGAAAAUUCCAAGAAAAAAAUAACGAAAAAAAAUGAAAUGAUACACAAUGCAGGAGUGCAUUUCCCAUAAUGUAGAUUUUAGAGAAAAGAUUAAUACCAAAAAAAAUCUCUUGUGUUGUGGUACAUUGUAUGUCUUUAUCACGCAAAUCUUAUUUUCACGAGUUUUGCGUAAUGUACUUAUUUUCGUCGCGGAAGCUGUUAAAUGCAGUAGUGGUAGUCUUUGAUUCCUCAUUAGGGUAAGCAAAAUGAAUGGAAAAGUUAGUAUCCUUCUUUGAAUUUGAUAUGCUACAUCUAGCGACCGUUAAUUAAUAAUCUUUGCAUCACUAUCGAAUUUGAUAUGCUACAUCUAGAGACUGUUAAUUAAUAAUCUUUGCAUCACUAUCGAAUGAUGUUCUUAAUUCCCAACAUAACAACUUAAACGUUAAAUUAUUUAAGAAGAUUUUUUUUUUAAUUUCUCUAAGGCCUAAACAGAUAAAUGUUUUUUGUGGUGAUAUAGUAUUCCGAAGUUAGGCCUGUUGAGAAAAAAAUUAGGAAUCAAACCCUCAUGGUGAAGUCUGUUAGGAUUCAUGCCCCAACAGACUUUACUACAAGAGUUUAAUUCCUAAAUUUUUCAAACCGGAGGCUAUCUUCCGAAUACCUUAUCAAUUAUCAUCACAGAGACCGUUUAUUCCGUUAAGCCGUUCUUUAAUUGUAUGAACCAACAACUCCCCAAAUUACAAGAAAUUGUAUUUUAAUAUUAUUUUUAUACGCGUGAUAUUUGACUCCGAACUGUAAAAAGAGGAGGGAAGAGAGAUUCAAACUCAACUAUUUUUUUUUUUUUAAAACAAACAAUAUUAGUUACACUAAAAAAAAGUAUGAACUUAAUCUCACAAUGAGUUAAGAAUAAUAUGGUUCAAAUUCGUCUUUGACAUGAUUCAAACUCAACUAUUAAAAGUGCAAUCUGCUCGAUAAUGUGACUACAUCCACAUGCAUUUCGUUAUAAUAUUUUACAAAUAAAUAAGUUUUGCACAGUUUAAAAAGCUUUCAGAAGAAAAAAAAAAAUCCCUCUACUAUUGUGGGAAAAAGAAAGAAAAGGAAGAAUCUCGCGGCCUAUUGUUCGGUUAAAAAAACUUGUCGCUAAUAGGAAAACGCCACGGUAGAAAGUAAGGACGCAUUAUUUGUGGUGGGGGGGGGGGGCGCCGUGCCACGAAACCGAAUGAGAUUCAGAUUUGGUUGGAGGACGGAAAGAAAGUAAUUCACCAAUCCCUUUCACGAGAAGGUGCCAAAGGACACACGAAAGAAACGUUUCACUCAUAGUGACUAGACCAAAGCAAAAAAGUCAAUCCAAUCCAACUAGGUUAUGUGUUCGACUGUAGUAUUACCUGACUAUUCACGUUGUGAUAAGAAAGACGAUCCAUGAUUGUUUUUAGAACCCAAUUGUCCCACAUCAUUUAGUAUAUCUUAAAGGCGUUUCAGAGCUUUUGCGUACCUUUCCCUUCCAAGCCGAUUUUUAGGGGCAAUUUCUACUCUUAAAACAUUGUAUUAGAGCUUGGUUUCACCACGCAAUCGAGCGCAACUCCAUAGAAGGAAAUGAUAAAUUUUUUCAGUGUGUCUGGAACAUGUGGUGAAACACCACAUGUCAUUACAUAAGUGAAGGAAGGUUUUAUUUUUCAAGAAUCCCACUACUUUUAUAAUAACAUGUGGUGUAUCAUCCCGUAUUACGAGUACGUGAAAAAUUUGUAGAUGGGACCGCCUCAAAGGAAGGAAAGGGCUCCUCUAGGUCAGUGUAGAAAGCAAAACUUCACCAAACCUCUAAGGACGCGUUUACUAAUCCGUAAUCAAAUUGAGAGGAAUUGAAUUGAGGAGGAAUAGAAAUGAGGGAAAAUCAGAAUCAAAUUCCUUUUGAAGUUGUUUACUAAAACUGUUUGGAAUCGGAGUAGAAAUAACAUUGAUCUAUAUAACUGUUUACUAAUUCACAUGAAUCGGAAUGAAAACUAUUGUGAUUACUAAAAUACCCCUAGUUUAAUUAAUAAAUGAAAAAUAAAUGAAGUUUUUAUUGAAUAAAAAAUUGGAUGCGAUCCCCUAUAGAUGGUUUCACAAAACACAUAUUCUUAUUAACUUGAUGACCAGCGGACAAGGUUUAGCACAAGACAUUAACUAGGUAGAGAACCAAACAAGAGCUAAGACAAAGAACAUUGAUGAGCUGAUGGCUAAACCUCGAGGAGGGCCGGAAGUUGAAACGGGCACCAUUUGAUCUUCCUUGAUUAAUAACACUCCAAUGAAAGCGUGCCUCCGUGACGUGUGGUCAAAAUAUAAAGGGUCCAGAAGGAAAAGUAUACGUUCUCCCGUUCAAAAGAGGGGAUGCACGAGUAAUGUCCAACUAUGAAGAUGAAAUCGUGCCGUGCGGUGUUAUUCUCUCAACAGCACCCAUUCUCUGAGGAGGCCACAAAAUGUGGGUAACCCUUCCUUCAACUAAACCAAGAGGAAUCUGCCAACAACAGCUUGUUUAAGUUAGCCAAAGAAACAGAAGUUUAGAAGGAAGCCAAAAGUAGCCACAUUUUCAAAUUAUUUUGCACAACAUCAAUUCUGAUGAGGACAACUGAACUGAAAGCAACAUCUGAAACAAUGUCUUAGAAUACAUCAAGCAUUAUAUUCUAUCAAAGUUUUGCAAUGACAACAAAAUCAUCUAGCAGAAAUUUAGAAGGAUGCCAAAAGUAGCCACAUUUUCAAAUUAUUUUGCACAAUAUCAAUUCUGAUGCAGACAACUGAACCGAACAAAGCAUGUUCAUAAGCAAUGUCCGAAACAAAGUCUUAGAUUACGUCAAGCAUUAGAUUCUAUCAAUGUUUUCCAACGACAACAAAAUUACCUAGCAUAACAAUGAUUGCAAACUUUUUCCAAAAUGCCAAACUAAUUAUCUAUAUAGCAUUUCAAAUUUAUCGUGUCCUAGAAAAACAUUUUGUCUCAUUUACGAGCCACAAGCUAACGGAAUAGAAAAACGAUUUCCAUCCUACUCCGCAUUCAACUUUUCAGAAUAUAAACAAACAAUAAGUGAUUUGCCAUAAAAAAUACAAAAGUAAAUUCAAAUACCUAGUCAGCUUAUUGUUUCGUAUCUUUGGGCACCAAAUCAAUAUAAUUAAGGCCACGAUGAUAAAUUAUACUAUCGUUAAACUAUUUAUUUCUCUGGUGUACAAACUUAGCAGUAAGGUAGACUUACUGGUCCAAACGAUCUUGAAUCCAGGCUAGAAGAUGAAUUGUCUCCCUCAACCCAACAAUGUCCUUCUGUAAUUUUCACCACACAUAGGAAUGACGCGUUCCAAUCCACUCACCAGGUAAGGCAGUUAUUCUCUUUAUGUGACUCUCCUUGUGGUUACUUGGGGAGCUGCAGAAUGUUCCAUCAGGUUUCUUAUUAUAAUUCACUAGGCACAAAUAGUACUCGAGUGUUGUUAAGGGAAAAAAUUACCGGAAAACUACCACGUCACCAUGCGAGAACUUGUAGUUUUGAAGACAUUGUUUCUCGACCAAAACAUUGUCAUCUGCAACCGAAUCACAAUCAGACCACUAAACAAACCAUCACAUUGCACAACACAAAAAUCUUAGUGAGACGUCAUUCAAUAUACCAACUAGUUGGCAAGCCCAUCAAAGAAGUCGCUCCAUGGUUUAACGUAGGCGACAUAGAGGAACCCCGCACCAGAGCAACACUCGCAAAUCGAUCCGAAACAUAUACACCUAUAAUCCCAGAUGUGAAAAACUUGUUGGCAAAAUUCCACAAACCACUCCGAGUUCCCAUGUCCUGUUUUUUUUCCCUAAAUACUCACAUUUCAUGUGCAAAAUGCAGCCAUCUGUAACAAUUAUCAUCAAUUUUACCGAAAAUAAAAUCAAAUCAAAUGCGCAAUUUCGAUAAAGUAAGAAGAUUUAUAUAAGCAAAAACAGUAACCAAUCUCUCAGAGGCAAACAAUCAAACACCUGGUGAGCUUAAUGGACAAGAGGGAAAGAGAGUAGGUUACCAUUUGGGAAUAUUUCGGAUUAGCUGUCGAAGAAGCUUCCUUCACCGACGGGAGUCUUCGUUAAUGGAGGUAAGGCGGGAGGAGGUAGGUCGUGUACCGCCGUCGCGGAGUCGUGAUUUGGAGGAGAAGCAAAGUCUGGAUUAUAUUUCGGCUUUGGAGCUAUAUCUCAGAUGCUUUUUGCUCAAGGAAUUUGAAUUGGGUGACAAGCAUUAAUAAAAAAAUAAAUAAAUAAAUAAAUGUAUAAAUAGGAUCACCUAUAUAAAUUUUACUAAUUUGGACCCCUACAAGUUGCUUAAAGAGUAAUCAAAGCCCACCACUCCCAUCAGAGUUGAAAAUCUAACGAAAAUGACAUUUUUAUUCUAAAUGUCAAUUUUGAUACUAUUUACUUACAACAUUCUUUUGCCUUUUUUUUAAUUAAAAUUCAAAGUUUUCAAACCAUUUUCAUUUUUUUUUUCUUUUGAUUUAUUUAUUUUUAUUACAAAAGGACAAGUUAAAUUAUUCUAAUUCAUAUGGAGUGAGAUUAUUAUUUGAUAUAUUCUCGAACUUGAGUGAAAAGGGUAGACACGCUAUUAUAACUAAUUGGUUUAACCUGAAUAUGCUGUGUAUGUUUUUUCUUUGAUUAAAUCCGUAAUUUUUCACUUAGAUAAGUGUAAUUUGAUUUUAUUUACCCAUAAAAAAAAAUAAAUAAAUCUUAUAAUCGAUCAAUUUGUUAAAUGAAAAUUUUCUUAACUAUGGGCCAUACAAUUAUGUUUUAUUUUCAAUCAAGUCCUAAAGUGUGGUUUCAUUUGCGAUAAGUUAUAUGCCUUAAUAUUCACUUAAUAUUAAAUUUUAGUGACAUUAUUUUUCCUUGCAAGUAAUAAGUUAAGUUUAAACGCUCUUGAAUAACGAGUUCAAUACCUAUUUAUUUAUUUAUUUAUACUAUCGUAACAAAAACUCGUUACACUAUUCUCUCUCACUACUUAAGUUACCCAAAUUUUUAACUUGAGAUAAAUUGUUGGGAAAUUUUAUUUGAACCCAUCUAACUUCUUUGUACACCCAACUUACUCUCUUCACCCAUAUUGUUUUUUAUUAAAGAAUUAAUAUCUCUUUAAACUGUAGGUAUUUAUUCUUGUAUCUCCAUGCUACUUGAAUGCAUCUUUCUGCAAGGCCUCUCCAGUAAGGUGACUCAUACCUGCCAUAAAAACCAAACUUCAACAUCAAUGUUCUGUCAUAAACCAUUCCCACAUGCAUCCUAGACGAUUUCUUGCAGACCACGUAUGCAUAUGUCACCAGUCUUCAAUCGUGUAUGCAUACAUGAGAUAUGAAUAGCUUGAAUAAAAUAAACCUUAUGGCUCCUGGAACACGUGGUUUGCGCAAGAAUCUGGAGAAAACAUUGGUGACUUCUUCAAUGUCAGCUGCAGCAAUCAAUAGAAGAGACCUACAUAGGUGGACUACUUUCCAUAGAGCUUGUUUCAAAGGGAAGAUAAAAGUCAUUCGAACGCUGCUUGAAAAGGGUUUGGAUAUGGAUGCUAAAGAUGAGGAUGGACACACCGCGUUGCACUGUGCAGCGGAGUCGGGUCAUGCGGAUGUGAUUGAGAUGUUUAUAAAGAAAAGAGUUGAUGCUGAAGCUCGAACUAACAAAGGUGUGACUGCACUGCAUAUUGCUGAGUCUUUGCACUACGUUGGGAUUACUAGGAUACUUAUUCAUAGAGAUGCAACAAAAAAACAAUAGUAAUAUGGCACAUAUGUUGACCCAGGCCUCAGUUUCAUUUGGGAAAAAAUCUAUGGGACUAGAGGAGGAGAUCAUCAAAGGAGGAAUGAAGAAGGAGAAAUCGAGUCAAGCUAGAGCUCUUCGUGUGAGCUUUGAUGGUUCGAUGCCAUUGGUUGUUGUUUAGCUAGUAAAGUUAGAACUAAUAUUGGUGCAUUGGUAUUUUGAUAAACGUAGUAUAAAUUAGAGGAUUCAAAACUUCAAAAUCAUUAUCCAUCAAUAAAAAAACUUGUUUUUCUCUAUGAGAGCUAUUAGGGUUUUAGCCGUAAUGAGCGUAUGAUAAAUAAAGAGUGAUCCUAGGGUUUAAUUAUAGUGUUUGGGUUUAUUGAUAAAUUUGAGUUUUAUUAUUAAUUUUAUUUUGUACUUAAUAGUAAUUAUGCAAUAGGGUAAAAUAGGCAAUUAACAUUUAAAAUUUAGGGGGGGUGUAUUCAAUUGGGAAUUUGAGAGAUUUUAAUGGAUUUAUAAAUCCAUGAAUUUUUAUGGAGUCUAAUUGAUUUGUAGAGAUUCCAUAUAAAAUUUUAAUUCAAUUCCCUCCAAAUCUCUUGGGGAGAGAUAAGAUUUGUGGAUGAUUAAAAUACACUACAAAAUCUCUCUAAUUCCCUCUAAUUCCCCAACUUUGUCAAAUUCUUUAAAAUCAAAUUCUAAUUGGAUACACCUAGAAUGUUAUAAACUUCUUUAAAAUCUUAAUGGAAUACACCCGGAUUUCUAAGGAUUUUAAUAAACUAUCUUAAAAUCCUAAUUGAAUACGCGUUGAAUUUCAGAUAAUCACUUAAAAUCCUGAUUGAAUACCCCUAGAUUCAUUAAAAGAAUUAAAAUCCCUCAAAAUCCCAAUUGAAUACACCUCCUAAGAUGAGUGUAAAAAAAUAUUACAUAAGUUUAAAUAAAAUUUCCCUUUGACGUCCAAAGCAAGUAUCAUAAAAUAUCAACCAUGUAGUCAUUUAUCAGGUAGGAAAAGCUCACAUGGCAUUGCGUACACUAAUCCUUUGAUCACAUCACAAUCUUUACAAACUUAAGCAUCACAAAUCAUGAUCAGCUAAGUAAUUAACGUUACAUAAUUAACCAUUGUCCACUAAUUAAAAAAACCAAACAUGAUAUGCACGUAGAGAAUGGGCGGUCUAAGAAGAGAAGGCGUCGAUGAUGGUAGUGUGGAGCGGGUCACUCAAAUGGGUAGCCCAGUUGUUAAGCGGGCCCUUUCCGGUCACGGCGGCCUGCACGGCGAACCCGAGGAACCCAACCAUGGCGAGGCGGGCGUGCUUGAUUUCAGCCAGUUGAAGCGUGGCCUUCUUUUCUGGGUCGGCGGCAAGGCCCAAGGGGUCGAAGAACUUGCCACCCGGGUACAACCUCUUUUCCGGGUCGAGCUCGGCGUUCCUCUGGAACUCGAUGUAGCCAAUCACUAGAACUUCGAUCCAGAUCAAUGUGGUUAGUGAGAACGGGAGUGGCUGACCCAAGUAGGAUGAACCUUCGAUGAGCUCCACCUGUACAAAUAGCUCCACAUAAUUAGCGUUGACUGUGAGGUCAAAAGACAAAAAUACACCAAAUGAUUUUGUAUUUUAAAAAACUAGAUUUUAAUCCCUAAAUAAGAUGAAGUUUAGAAAAAUGUCUUAUACAAGAUUAAAAAUUGAUUUUAGUCCCUAGACUCUAUUAAAUGUCAACAUAUGUAUUCAAUGUCUCUUUUUUUUAUUUAUAAUUUUAUGGUGUUCAUAAAUUAAAUUUUAUGAAAAUAUUAUAAAUUUUUAAUUCUCAUUAUUGUGAGUAUCUUAUAUAAGAAAAUAUUUUCGUAGAGAUUGUUUCGUACAUUUAUAUUUUCGCACAUUUUUUUAUGUGCCACUAAUUCAUUACAAUAUAUUUAGGUACAAACAUUUCAGUACAUUGAGUUAGUAUAAUAUGUUUAGUAUGGACAUUUAGGUAUAUUAGUUUAGUAUAAUAUAUUUAGAUAUCGAGAUUUCAGUACACUAGUUUAGUAUCAUAUAGUUAGGUACAGAAUUUUCGGUACACUUAUAUUUUUGCAUAUUUUCUUAUGUGCCACUAAUUUACUACAAUAUAUUUAGGUACGGACAUUUCGGUACAUUAAAUUAGUAAAAUAUAUUAUGAUAUGGACAUUUAGGUACACUAAUUAGUGGAAGUUAAAUAAAAUUAAUGAAUUAAAAUGUGUAUAAUAAUAAAUUUAAAAUUUAAUGUAAUGACAUUAAAUAAGAUAUCUAUUAAAUAUUAAAAAAAAUAUAACAUAAAUUUGAAUUAAGUACACAUUAAGGGACUAAAAUCAAUAUCCAAUCUCACAUUAGGUUUUUAUUAAAUUUUAAUCUUCUUGAAGGAUUAAAGUUCAAAAACCCCUUUGUUUUGUUUUUUAUUUUUUUUUAACAAAUGAUAUUCCACUUUAGAAGGGAGAGUAAGUUAAGUCUGACAAUAAACUAAUAAUAAGAUGAUUCAAAUUUGUAUUUUAGCAAGAUUUGAACAAAUGAUAUUAUACUCUAGAAGGGAGAGUAAGUUAAGUCUGACAAUGAACUAAUAAUAAGAUGGUUCAAAUUUGUCUUUUGGCAAAGAUCGAACUUAAAAUCUUUCACUUACAAGUGAAGAGAAAUACAAUUAGACUGUAAUAAGUGGCAAAUACACCAAGCUAUUCACAGACCCAUUUUUAUCUCUCACUCGUUCUUAUUAAAUUUUGACUGUUUAUCUUCUUCAAUUCAUUCGAUCUGAUGGUCGAAAAUUAAGAAAAAUGUAUGACAAGUAAAAAUGAGUGUACGUAUAUGCACUUUGAUUUGGCGCCAAAUAAAAAAAAUGCAAAAUGUAAGCUACGUACCUUUCGGCGUCUUGCCAUGUGAUCCCGGUUAGGGACUCAACAGUGAGAGCACCGAGCGUGGCGAGCAUGGCCCACCUUCCAUGAAUCAGCUCGCACUCCCUAAACCUCUGCAACCCAAACACCUCCGUGUAAGGCUGAAACGGCGUCGACUGGACGUCCGCGGUUUCGGUUCGAGUCCCGAUGAUGUCACCCGCCAAGUUCUUGGCCAAGUUUUGGUCCAACCCGUCGUAGUCGUACUGCAAAUACUCCGCGGGUUUGCCCAAACCGAACGGGUCGAACCCGUAGUCGCCCACCAGGGUCCCGUCCAGCCACUCCGGAGCCUUUGCGCCCGGGUACCAGAGCGGGCGGUCAGUCGAGAAAGUGGGUUUUGUUGAUUUCUUGGGCGGCCUUUUCUUGGUCCCGAAUCCGAACCGGCCCUGAACCCGACCCGAGUUCGAGUACGCCUCAGACGGGAGGCGUGUCCCGAUGAAGGAGGAUGUAGCGGCGGCAGCAGCUGUGGUUGUUGCCAUGGCGCCGGGGGUGGAGGAAGGAUCGAGAUUAUUGCAAUGUCUGUUUAAGUGAAUUUGUUUGGGAUUUUUAUGUGGAGAUAUGGAAGUAAGUAUUUUAUCGGGUUGGAAUGGAUGAUCCGGUGUGGCGGAUUACUGGCCCUUGGAUUGAGAAGAGUAUCCAUCUGACGGAUGUGAGGGUAUCGGCCUUAUCUUUGCCUUAUCUGAUGGUGGGGUUUGGGAAAUUUGGACAUCAAAUUGACUGUUUUCUUUUUGAGAUCAUUGUGGCAUUUCUUGUGGUUGAGGUCACAAGUACCCUAAAAUCUAGUUCCUUUUUCUUGUGGUUGCCCCUUCCUCAGUGAGUUUCUUCUGUAUCAUGUAUGUUUUUCUAAGCCAACGUUUGAAUUGUAUUUUAACUGUAAUGACAAGAGCCGAGUAUAAGUAACUAGAACUAGUGGUGAGCAUGUGAAUUAGGUUAGCUACGGCGUUUUCGUAAAAGUUCAAUCCACAAGUAAAAGACCCAAAUCUUCAGUGCAGCAUAAUCUCAUAAGAUUAGAAUGCGGAGUUCCAAAUCUUUAGUGUAGCAUAACCUCAUAAGAUUCGAAUACGGAGUUACGGUGGACAAACUCAGAGACCACUGCUAUCAAUUUUUAUUGUCAGAGACCAAAUUGCCGAGUUACAUCAAUGCAAUGAACCAUUUUAGCUAAAAAGCCAUCUCAUAUUUAAUGCAAGAUCUGAAUGAGAAUGGAAAGCUUAAGGAAUACAUACUUCAUGAGAAAAAUCUUGGGCACCCCACGUCAGUAGAAUACUUUUUACAAAAGCAACAAGACCAAUAUAUUCUAAUCUUAUCCGAAUCCAUGCUUGUCCCAUUUUAUACCCACCCCACCCCUUUUGGAUGUUAAUACAUGAAUAGUUAAUGCUAUGUUCGAAUGUUUAGGAUUAGAUGCGUCAUUGUUUUUUUAAGAGAGCUUUUGCAUAAGUAACAUGAAAUUGUAAUGAAUCAUGUGCAAGUCACUAUCGGCAUGGCGUCUACGGCGGUCUGGAUGCUGCCAGAAGAUCUUGAUGGUUAUCUGUUACCGGAGUAGACUGUCGUACGUGCUGUGGCACCGCGUCCUUCACCAAACAGGUUCCCUUUGAAAGAAAAAUCGAAAGUAGGUUGCUUACGCACCGUGUUCUGCCAUGUCUUUCCACCAAGAUCUGACAUGGCGGAUCACGGUGCAAAUCGUCUGAAACCCAUUUACAAACUAACGAAGAGAGGAGUUCAAGAAUAAUUAAACUAUAAAUGCUUACGCAAUUUGAUCAGUUUGUUCCCAAUUGGGCUUCUAGAUUUCGAAACAGAAAACAACUUUCAUGCUUGCUUACAAAGAUAAAAGAACCUCUAACCUACCACAAAUGGCAUGUUAGUAUCGUAAUUAAUUACAAAUUAAAGAGAAAAUUGUCAAAGUAAUGCAACUCUAUUUACACUUCCAAUAUAAAUAAAUUGGAGAUACGGAAAGAAUUGUAAUGAGAAUUUCCCAGGUGAUAUUCCAGCCCCUGUUAAUUACCCCUUAUCGACGAAGAUCAUACGAAACAAACUUAGGAUUUGGCGCGAUGAGAGGAAGCUUAUCAAUGUACAUAAAAAGUCUCUUUGAAUUCUCCCUAGAGAUUGUAGACAGGUCAACAAUCUCAUUGUUGCUGGUGUAGAUCCAAAGAUCGCAUGAGUUGACUCGUUUCAGACUGUCACGGCAGAAGGGGCAUGAUUGAGACAGUGUACGCCUACAUAAAUCAAAAGGGAAAUCCUCUUAGCCAAGGAAAAAACAGACACAUUAACUGAUGUAGCCAAGGAAAAAAACAGAUAUCUUAGAUCCAGAUUAUAUAUGCCAGAGACUAUUUGACCGUGGUGCUAUGUUAUCACUUAAGAGAACUAUAGAACAUCACUUUCAAUACAUUCUUAAUACGAUGUAUUUUGAUUGCUAAACUUGAAAAUAUAUGGAUCUAAAUUAUCGCGUUUCAGCCUACCUAUGUGCAGGUGAAGAUUACUUGAAUCAUCAACCACUUGUGCAAGAAAAAUUGAAUACAAACAGGAAACUUUCGGUAAGAAAUAUGAGAAAUCAAGAUCAACAAGCAAAAGGGGAUAAAGAAGGAGAAAGUAACAGCUGCUUACCAGUUUCGAUAGCACUUCAUACACAUACAAUGACUGCAAUUGGGCAAUACAACCUUGCUGUUCAUCUCCAUGCAAAUACCACAUUCUUCUUCUCGCUCUAAAUCAAUUUCGGAGAGCUUUCCUUUGACCGCCUCGUCUUUUCUCUUGUACUUGGUGGAAAGGAUUUCGUUUUGUUUCCUAUCUUCUACCUCAGUCAAUCCCCUCUGAAGUUGCAAUAACGAAGGAAAUAUCACGCCUGAUUUGAAACAGUCAAAACGGGAUUGCUAAAGAGUUGUACAUCUUUGUUUUAUAAACACUUCUGUUCAAGAAUUCUAAUAAAAGAAUACAAAUUGCCUUCAAGUUACUUACUGUAGAACUCUUUUAGACUAGCUUUUCUUUCAUGAAUAGACAUGGUGGUCUUCCCAUCCUCGUACACCUGCGACAAAAUUGACACCAUCACAACAAUGACAAGAAGCUACAAUUCUUUAUUACCAAUACACCAGAUUUAAAGUUAGAUGGAGGGGUCACU